rnacentral:lncRNA from 1 species
CUUCACCAGGUAUAACCUCAGCCAAAUCGUGACAACCUCAUCCAUCAAUAAUCAGCUCCAAACAACCAAUAUCCAAAAACCCAAAUCCAUCAGCAGCGACCUGAACAAUAAAAUCCCUAGAAACAAUAGGCGAUUCAACCCCAUCAGAAAUCGACAAAAAAUCUAAUCCCCAGUUCAAACUAUUUCAGUAGUGACCCAAACCUGAACAAGUUUGUUUUUGCCCAAAAGUCUCCAUUUUGCUCGAAUUUGUACAUCCUCAUAUGAAUAUCAUGAUUUGUUAUUCAAAUCACUCUCGAAUUCUCUAGGAACAUAGUUAGGUGUCUUCAUUCAAAGUCUACCUAUACAAAUCUUGGGAUAAUUCAUAUAAUUUCAUACACAGUUGGGUGAUUUUUAUUGGUUCUUGAGUAUAAUUUGUUUUGAUCAAAAGACAUUAGUCCACCCAUUUCGAAAAGAGGUGAAAAAUCCAAAAUGGAGUACCAUUUUGCUGAUGAAAACCGAAGCAGGGGAUGGAAAUUUCAAAUUUCAAAAUCUCCUUUGAAAAUCCCCAAUUUACCCUCAAUUCGUCUUCUAUAUAAAGACCCUUGGGGUCACUAUUUUUGGGGGUCUUUUUUCUCUUCUUUCAGGGGGUUUUUGGUUUGGAAAUUGGAGUUGGAGAUUCUAGAGUUGAAACUAGGUUUCAAAAUUUUGGGUUGAAAAUUUUGGGGGUUUUCAGAAAAACUAAGGAAGAAAAGGAGUUGGAACAUUUCUGAGAGAAUCUCUGGUUCAGAAAAACUUAGAGAGAUGAGAAAAGAAAAAAGACAGAUUCUUGAAAAAUUCAGUGUCAAAUAGAAAUUCUGUUCUUGAUUCAAAAGUUUGUUAGCUAAAUUAGAGUGUCGAGUUGAUGGCAAAAAAGAUUUUCGGUGGUCGUGAUCUCCGUACUAGUUCGUCAUCUCAUUUUUCUGCCCCGAAGGAGGUAAAAACACUCUCUCCCUCUUUAAUUUUGUUUACUCUUUUAUCCCUUUUCUCCGUAGAAUCAGUUAGUUUCUUAAUCGUAAUCGUGAAUAAGGCUGGAGUUUGUCGCUGUAGAAACCUUUGAUGGCCUUAGGAAUUGUUUGUGAUCGUUGUGGUUAUGCUAUUCUACUGAAUCAUUGUUUAUCCCAUGAUGUGGUGUUUUGAGCAUAUUUCUGUGGUGAUAUAUGGAUUAGAUAAAGCUUCCUUAAUCUCUAAGUUGCGGUUUUUCCCUGAUUCAUUGUAUCCUGAGUUAAAGACCCCGUUGUGGAUACACUAUUUAAGGCGUUGUGGUCGUUUGAUAAACUUUGUGGUAUAAUUUUGAAUACUGCUUCUUCUCCCUUAUCGGCAUUUACUGGUUUCUGAUUUUCAACUCUAUUUCAUAAUAGGAUCAAAUUUUAACCCAUGAUUUUCGUCCAAACGUUUCAUGUUCUGGUGGUUGCAUUCUUGGCAUGUUAGUCUGAUAAUAUUCAUAGGUUAAUAUGUUGUUAUGUCGACUUAUGAUACAUUGUAGUCCUUUCACUCAUCAUACUGGUAGUAUAAAUGUUAUUUGUUGUGAUUAAGGCUCGUGGUUUCGUCCAAGUUUUACCAAUCUACAGUUAACCCAUUGUGUGUUUAUCCAAGAUAAUGACUUCCAUGUUAUGAGAUUUUUCAACUUAUAGUUAAUCUACAGUUAACUUAUGUUAUCCUGGAAAUUUAGUUGUAACAAUCUGUUUCUUGAUUCUAGUCAACUUGUGCUAAGUUUCCCAUAAUUAGUACCAUAACCCUGAAAACAGUGUUUGGAAUUUGCAUUAGCUCUGCAUGUAAUUCGAUGUCACUAGCUACUUCGAGUUUUAUUAUGAGCGAUGGAAUUAUUUUUCUUAUGAGUCUUUGUUCUGCAUCUUGUCCACUCUCUUUAUUCUGAAUCAACUAUCUAAUCAAAUAAUUGUUAGAGGAGAUUUCUUUAAUAAAAAUAUUGCAUAGGGAGAAAACUUUAUCUAUGUAUAAGAAUCUGAGGUUGAAUCAAAAUAUAAGAAAAUACGGUAAAAGAGAAUUAAGCUGCAUUCUUACCCUGCCUUUUUCACUCAUAUUUUGAUGUUUAAAUUCAUGUUCGUCCUCUAUAAAGUUCCUGUGUGGCCUUAAAAUAUUGCUUGACUUUAUUCGUCCUCUAUAAAGCUGCAUUCUUACCCAGCCUUUUUCACUCAUCUUUGUUUUCUUUAAAUUUGAAUCUCUUCGAGGGCUGUAUAUGUUUUCUUCAGUUUCAUUAAUAGUUCUCUUUUGUGUGUGAUUAUCUAUCUCCAACGUAAUCAACUACUAAAUUAUCAUAUAUCCGUAUGUACUAAUCCAUAUAUUUUUCCCCUUUCUUUUUCAUGAACCCACCUCGAAGUCCAAACGGACUCUAUGCUCAUUAGUGCAUUAUCAAAGUGGGCCAUUGAGGCCAAUCCCUCAUGAGUCAAUUUCAAAGGUCCUCUAGAAAUUAAUCUCGUAAUGCACGGAUACGAAAAGUCGAAAGAGGGAAAAUGGAUUAAAGCCCCACAUUUGAAGCAACCAAGAAACUUGAAUGUCUUAGUUUCCAUUUCAUUUAUUUAUUUAUUUAAGUCAUUUAUUAUUGUUGUCUUUAUUUUUUAGUUAUUUAUUUUUAAUCAUUCAUAUGGGCCAAGAAGCCAAAGUUGUAUUUAGUACAGGUGGAGCAAGAUUCGAGUCAAAGGAUCAAAAACUAGAUUAGGACAGGUGAAAUAGGUCAAAGGCUCGAUUAGACUAGGACAGGUUUUGUUGGUUUGGGCCCAAUGACCUAAAUCGUUUACUUUCUCCUCCCUUUCCCCAUUUAUGUGUUUACUUUCUUAUUUCAUUUGUGUAGACUAAGUCAAAAUCCCUAUUAGGUCAUCUAAAACUGUUUUUACACAAAUCUUUUCAACAAAAUCAAUCACUUUUAAAAAACUAAACUUUUUUUUAGGUUAAUCAAAGACGAUUUUCAAACAAUCCGGAUAACCGCAAGUUAGCGGACAUUUUAGGUGCCUAACACCUUCCUAAAACUUUAAUAGGUACCUUUUAUCUAGAAUCUCUAACAUAAAAUUAUUUUCCUGUUAUGAAUCAUUUGAAGAAACUUUAUAAAGGUUUCUUAGUUCCUUUUCAAAAUUAAGUGGCGACACUUCAAAAAGUUAAAAUUUCAGAAAAAUAGAUGGUCCGUCACCCAGACCGUCAAUUUUGCCCGAAACAGUGCCGAAACAACAUUUUAAAGGGCUUUUUUGGUCUUUUCCCCCCCUUUUUAACCCCGAAUAACAUCAAAUCAAAGCAUAUAACUCCUCAUUCAUCCAUAAAAUCAAUAUUAGGGUUUCUUUCAAGAUCAAAAUCCAAGAACAAGAUUCAAACCCUUCUUCAAGAAAACUCAAGAAUCAAAACGUCACCAUUCAAAACCUUCAAGAAAAGUCAACCUCCUUUAAAAUUCAAGAUUUUGAGGUAUGUAAAGUGUUAAUUCAUGGGUUUAUUUCACUAAUGAAGCUCAAGAAUCCCAUUUUUAAACUCAAGAAUUGUGAUUCCCGUGUGGUGGGUUGAUUUUAAUUAUGUUGAUGUGGUUUUAUGAAUCCCAAGUUAGAGUCUUUAUGUACUUUUCAUAAAAUUAUGCUAGUAUAUGAGUUGAAAACUUUUAAUUGGAGUUGAUUAAUGUAACCAUGAUGUACGAACUAGAGUAUAUGCCUAAGCCUAAGGUUAUGCAUGUAAUGUGUUUGAUAAAAUGCCCAAAGAACAAGAAUCAUACUUUAGGACUCAAUUAUGACCAAAUUGAUGAACCCAUGCUUUACCCUUAUGUUCAAAAUGACUUCCAUGUUAUUUUUAUGCAUUGAAAUUGUUUGAUGGAUUGUUCAUGAGAUUAGCCUAUGAAAUUAUGACAUAUUUAUAUGCUUUCCUAUUCAUGUACCAAACCAUGAUAAUCAAGUUCCUCAUGAAAUUCCCUAAUGAUUGUAUUACGGAUUGUUGAUUAUGGUCGUGAGUCUAGGAAGUGUCAUGUCUUAUCAAUUUUAUGCUAUCAAGUUCUGAGGGUACUUGUACCCAACAAUUUAGCUAUGUGACUAGAGCCACUAUCAUUUUUUCAGGAUAUCUCAGUCAUGCCAUGUUUAGUAGAAUUUAGUUAGCCUCAUGACUCAGGAAAGCUCAGUAAUAUCAGUUAGUUAUCAGAUCUUAGUAAUAUUCUAUUGUUAAUGAAACUUAGUAACCUCAAUUAGUCAAUUCAGUUUAAUUAAUUCAGUGUCUAAUCAUAUGGGAGUAGGAUUUAGCACUUAGUGAGCCCAAGGAUGGGAACUCCCCUGUGAGUAAAGGGUGUGAUUCUUAGUAAACAUCCUUAUACUCUAGAACUACGUAGCCAGUAUAGGUUGAGACAUCUAAUCUGUUAGAUGAGGUGGCUUAACCUAUUAUAUGAGAGUCUCACCAUUCUCUUUAGAGUACCUAUUAGAUGAGGGAUCACUUACAGCUUGUCCUUACCAGUGGCGUGGUAUUGACACCUUUCUAAUUGGGGUUAUAGAUUGAACCCUAACUCUGCUAUAAUGCUUUAUUUGGGGCAUGUUGGGUAGAUGACUACUUCCCAUAGUUAUAGUGUCAGUCUCAGUAAUAAAAUUCAGAUAGUUCUACAGAAUUCAGGACUGUCAGUUACAAUCACCUAGUUCAGUGCGGAACUCAGCUAGUUUAUUCAGUAACAGAACUGUCAAACACAGUUAUUCAGAUAAUAGUAUUUCAGAUAUACAAACUUAUGUUAUCAGUAUUCAGAUUUAGUGAUGUCAUGAUCUUAAUUAUAGUUCACAUAUUCAUGUAUGUAUUCUCAUGUAUGUUAUUCAGUCAGUUAGUAUUUUUCAUGCAGAUAAACCCCUUACAUUUAGCCUACCUUACUUGCAUACCAGUACAUUCAAUCGUACUGAUGCAUUUGCGCUAUGGUGUUUUAUACCAUAGGCUAGAAGGAUGAGCUCCAGAGCAUCCUUAGUAGAUCAGUCAUUCAACAGACAAACUAGCAGUGAGUCCUCAUUAUUUGAGGAUGUUAUUAUUUGACUAUUUCAUUCUUUAGUACCUAGUUUGUUUCAGUAGUUGGAGUUAGUUGGGAGCAUGUCCCAUCAACUCCUUAUUCAGACAGUUUAGAGACUUUCAGACUAGCAUGUUCAGACAGUUAUUUCAGUUGUUUUGGUAUUGAUAUGCCAUAUCUCUAAAUGUUACGUUUUGUUAGAUUUUUGAACCUUAUGGCCUUUUAACCUUUUAUUGUGCACUUAUACAGUGUGUUAUGUAGUGCUUAGUUAUAGAUAUCAGUCAUGGGUUAACUUGUGGUCCUUUGUGGUCAUGAGUACCUUGUGGUAUUUUGGGUACCAGAUUCGGGGCAUUACAAACUUGCUAUUAAAGUCUAAGGUUCAACAGUAUCCUAGGAAGUCUGAAAGCCACAUCUAGUAGAGUCUUGUGCAUGGGUAUGUUGCAUGCCACAUUUAUGUAUAGGAGGCUAUAAAAUGUUUUAGGAAUAGUUUCCCUUCUUUCAGUAUUCAUGUUGUGCCAGUGAGCAUUAGCUCAAAUAUAACUCUCAGUCUAAUCCAUUUCUCCCUUUUAUUUAUAGAUCAUACCCCCCAAAAUGGUAAAUAAAAGGAGAACUGGUAGUCAGUCAGCACCACAGCCCGCCCAGGAAGAUUCCCUAGAUGAGCAUGUCAUUCAUGGAAAAUUUAGAAUCGACUCCCUUACUUUAUCUUACUCAAUAGUAGCUCAGAGAAAUCAGUAGGUUGAUGUCCCACCUAGGCAUAUGAUUCAUGCCCAAAGAGUGAGGUGGGGAAAUGUAGGGAGAAAAAAAGAAAUAGAGAAAGUAAGAGAGAUGAAAAGGUAGCUUUAAUUUAAAUCAGCUUAAGUCAGAGGGUGGGAAUCAUUCUCAGUUCUGCCCAAAGUCCUUAUUUCCAACUCCAACCCCCAGUCAGUGUCCCAGCACUUAAAUUCAUAAAUGGUAAUAAUGAUAGGGUACCAGGCUCUAAGUCUCAGGGCAGUGUAGUAUUUGCCCGAACUAAUUCUCUUUGCCAAAAUUGUGGUAAGAACCACAAGGGUAUUCACAGAGCUAGCAGUAUGGUGUGUUUUGGAUAUAGCAAGCCCAACCAUAGAGUUAGAUAUUGUCCCCAGUUUGGAUUUUAGGGUCAGUAGAACCAUUUCUCAGUUUAGUGUGAUCACCCAAAUAAGCAGGGUGCCACUUCCAGCACAACCAAUGGCCAGCUCCCAAAUCGACUCUAUGCUCUUCAAUCCCAACAAAAUCAGAAAAAUUCUGUGUUCCAUGUUGUAUUACGAAUCUGUGUGCUUUCCCCUGCUUUCCUCUGCUUUAUAUUACUUAUGGGUGCCGUAUUUAUGUUAUGUAAUCUGCUUCUGUGCUGCACUAUGUGUUUGUGUGGUAUCUCGUGCCUUGAGCCGGGGGUCUAUCGGAAACAGCCUUUCUACUUUAUCAGAGGUAGAGGUAUAGACUGCGUACAUCUUACACCCCCAGACCCACUAGGUGGGAAUACACUGGGUUUGUUGUUGUUGUAGUUAUAAGAACCUAAUAUUUAGUUCCAGUAUGAGUCCAGUUGCAGUCUUAGUUACAGUGUCAGCUCCAGUUCAGUAAUCAGACCAGAAACUCAGUUCAGAUCUAGGUUUGCUUGACCAUAACAUACAGUUAUUAGCUACAAAAUGUUUUUGAAUUUUGUUAUACGCUUAGUCUUUCAUCCUUAAGAUAAUAUUGUUUUCACUCAUUCAUGCUCAGUUAUCUCAUGUUACCCAGUCAAUCAUUACUUUUUAUGCAUUAUGCUCUAUAGUUAUAGUUUAGUUAUUAGACUAAGUACAGUUCAGUCUUACCUGCCCAGUAUUUAGCUAUCAACUAUGUAGUUAAUCAGAUAAGUUAGUAUGUUUAUGCAUUCGUGCUCAGUACCCAUGUCAGUAUUUUAAGUAGUCUCAAGUGAUGUGUUGUACUAAGGCAGAGAGUAUAGUGGAAGAUGUAUUCGAGGGAUAUGUCUAAGCCUAAAAAUUUUAUAUGUAGUGCAUAAGGUUUAGUAACUCUAUUUUAGAAAAUGUUUCAUAGGCAUUGCCUCCUAGUAUAAGAAUCCCAGCCAUGUGGUGAUCCCCUUUUCAGAUGUCCUGUGCAGACCAAACCAAGAUUUCCUUUCUCUUACAGUCACCAGAACACGAUAGAAAGAGUNNNNNNNNNNNAGUAUAAGUUUUCAGUAUAAGUUAGUCCGUAAAGCCACCGAUUCAGUUUAGCAGUCAGACGAACAAGUUUGUAUGGUGUGGCUUUGCAUUUUUCCAUCUAGUCGCACUAUCUGAAUUCUCAUGAAUGUAACUACUUAAAAAUAGAUCAACUAGGUAGUUGAGUGUCUAUCUCAGUUCAUUUAUCAUGCCUUAGUUUCAUAAUCUAGAUAUUUAGUCACAAUUCAGUUCGUAGUUGCCUUGUGCCUCACCUCAAUUUCCUAAUAGCUAAAAAAAAUAGAGAAAAUCAGCCGAACAUUGUUCAAAGGACAUAAUAUCCCAAGGGAGAGAUACACUAUAAUCCCCCGAACUUUCAUGACAUAAACAAGCCACUCUUUCUUCACAUAAAAAACCCAUUUUUGAGUAGUGAGUACCCAUAGGUUGACCCUCUAUCUCCAAUCUUAGUCAUAAGCCAUGUACUCAAUGGCUCAGUCAGUUUACGAUAGUUAGUCUAUGUCAUACGUUACAGACUUUAUCAUGUUCUUAUGUUCCUGUACAUGCAUGUGCAGUAAAGGAUCUCAGUUGAGAUGAAAUAAAAUUUAGUACUUUGAAAAUCUCUCCCAUGAAAGGAGUAAUAAAGAUUCCGCAAGAAGGGAAACUCAGUCCCCGAUAUGUCGGUCCCUUUAAAAUUCUCAGUCGCUUAGGCAAAGUAGCUUAUGAGCUUGAAUUGCCUUCAGAUAUAGCUUCAAUUCAUCCAUUUUUUCAUGUCCCCUAUCUAAAGAAGCGCAUAAGUGAUCCAGCAGUUGUAGUCCCAGUUGAGAGCGUAGAUAUUCAGAACAGUCUCUCAUAUGAGAAAAUUCCAGUUGAAAUUCUUGACUAUCAGAUUCGCAGACUGAGAAAAAAAGAAGUACCUCUAGUUAAAGUUCUUUGGCAGAAUUAGUCCAUUGAGGGAGCUAAUUGGGAAGUAGAAGCAGAUAUGCAGACCAAGUAUCCUCACCUCUUCUCCACUAAUUAAGACCCAACCCAAGGGAAUAGCUUUUCUUAAGUUCAUUCAGCUUAUAGUUUAAAUUUCAGUAACAAACUAUGCUCAGUUUUCAUUUCAAACUUUGUAUCUUUACCCUUACAUGUUUAGUCGCAUGUUCAUAAAUCAGUUCAGUCAUGUACUCACGCAUCAGAUAUGCAUGAUCAGCUUAUCGGUACUCUACGUCAUGCAUUCAUGUAUCAGCUUAAUCAUAAAAACAUACAAAAGAUAUGCAUGAUCAAAAUGAAUCUCAGUAAUUUUUAUCAAAUAGAUAUGUUUCAGAUGUUCACAUCCUUUAAGUAAGUUCCGUCUAUCAGAAAUAUUAGCUUAGUCCCAUUCGAGGAUGAAUGUUCCCAAGGAAGAGAUAUUGUAAUACCCCAAGAAUCUCAAUCGAUAGUAGAACUAUAAUUCAAGCUCAUGAGAAAUAAAUUAUAGUUAUUUCGUAUUUUUAUGAUCAAUUUAUAUGUAUAUUAAGGCCUCAAAUACGUCCUAGCUAUUAGAUGAAUCAAAACAUCUCUUACCAAUUAAAUUCUUGAGAAGGAUAUUAUUAUAGCCAAAUUUAAACAAGCAUAUCUUUUGUUAUACUACGAAUUGUUUACUUCAUUACCAACUAACAGAUAGAUAAUUAAAUUAUAUUUCCAACGAUAUCAAUUUCACCAAAAUUUGGUAUCGGAGCAAAAAGUUAUGGCCAUUUUACUGAAAACUAUCUGAGCUGCACAAGAGUGACGGGCAAGCUGAUAGACCAUCAAGUCAGCGACGGACCAUCGCUUUGGCCAUUGAAACUAAGGUAGUUAGGCUAUUUUAUAGCCCAAAACUAAUGGUUGGAGUGACGUUCAGUCACCAGAGUGAUGGUCCAUCACCUAGACCAUCAAUCUUGUCUGAAACAGCGCUGAAACAACGUUUCAAAGGGCUUUCUGUGUCUUUUUCCACCCUUUUAAACCCCCAAUAGCAUCAAAUCAAAGAAAAUAACUCCUCAUUCAUCCAUAACAUCAAAAUUAGGGUUUCUUUCAAGAUUAAAAUACAAGAACAAGAUUCAAACCCUUCUCUAAGAUUACUCAAGAAUCAGAACGUCACCAUUCAAAAACCUUCAAGAAAAGUUAACCUCCUUCAAGAUUCAAGCUUUGAGGUAUGUAAAGUGUUGAUUAAUGGGUUUUUUUCACCCAUCAAACUCAAGAAUCCCAUUUUUAAACUCAUGAAUUGUGAUUUUUAUGUGGUGGGUUGAUUUUAAUUAUGUGUGGUUGUGUGAAUCCCAAGUUAGAGUUUUUAUGUACCUUUCAUAAAAUUAUGCUAGUAUGUGGGUUGGAAAAUUUUAAAUGGAGUUGAUUAAAGUAACCAUGAUGUAUGAAAUAGUGUAUAUGCCAAAGCCUAAGGUUAUGCAUGCAAUGUGUUUGAUGAAAUGCCCAAAGAACAAGAAUCAUGCUUUAGGACUCAAUUAUGACCAAAUUGAUGAACCCAUGUUUUAACCUUACGUUCAAAAUGACUUCCAUAUUAUUAUUAUGCAUUGAAAUUGUUUGAUGGAUUGGUCAUGAGAUUAGCCUAUGAAAUUAUGAAAUAUUUAUAUCCUUUCCUAUUCAUGUUCCAAACCACGAUAAUCAAGUGCCUCAGUAAAUUCCUCAAUGAUUGUAUUAUGGAUUAUUGAUUAUGGUCGUGAGUCCAGGAAGUGUCAUGUCUCAUCAGUUUCAUGCUAUAGAGUCUUUCGAGUACUUGUACCCGACAAUUUAGCUAUAUUCCUAGAGCUAGUGACAUGUUUCAAGAUACUCUCAGUUAACCCAUGCUCAGUAGAAUUCAGUUUAUCUCAUGACUCAAGAAAACUCAGUAAUCUCAGUAAUCUCAAUAAUCUCAGUCAGUUAUCAGAUCUCAAUAAUAUUUCAUCAGUCAACGAAACUCAGUAAACUCAGUCCAGUUAGUUCAGUAUAAUUAAUUCAGUGUUUAAUAAGAUGAGAGUAGGAUUCAGCACAGAGUGAGAUGGGAAGUCACCUGCGAGUAGAGGGUGUUAUUCUUAGAAGCAAUCCUUGCACUCUAAAACUACGUAGCCAGUGUAGUUUGAGACAUCUAACCUAUUAGAUGAGGGUUGAUGAGGUGGCUUAUCUUGUUAGAUCCCACCAUUCUCCUUAUAGUACCUGUUAGAUGUGGGAUCACUCACAUCUUUCCUUACCAGUGGUGCGGUAUUGACACCCUUCUAAUUGGGUUUACGAAUUGGACCCCAACUCAGCUAUAAUGCUUUAUAUAGGGCAUGUCGGUUAUAUGACUACUUCCCAUAGGUACAGUCUCAAUCUUAAUCUCAGUAACAGAACUCAGAUAGUUCUACAAAAUUCAGGACUAUUAUUUAUAGUCACCCAGUUUAGUACAGAACUCAACUAGCUCCAUCAGCAACAGGACUGUCAAACACAGCCAUUUAGAACAUAGAAUAUCAGAUAUACAAAACUUAUGUUAUCAGUAUUCAGAUUCAGUGAUGUCAUGAUCUCAAUCACAGUUCACGUAUUUAUGCAUCUAUUCUCACGUUCAUAUUAUUUAGUCAGUUAGCAUUGUUCAUGCAUAUAAAACCCUUGCAUUUAGCCUACCUCACUUGCAUAUAAGUGCAUUCAAUCAUACUGACGCAUUUUCACUAUGGUGUUUUAUACCAUAGGUUCAGGAGAACGAGCUCCAGAGCAUCCUUAGUAGAUCAGUCAUUCAGCAGACAGACUAGCAGUGAGCCCUCAUUAUCGAGGAUGCUAUUUUAUGUCUAUUUCAUUCUUUUAAUACUUAGUUUAUUUCAGCAGUCGGAGUUAGUUGGGAACAUGUCCCAUUAGCUCCUUAUUCAGGCAGUUUAGAGGCUUUCAGACUAGCAUGCUCAGACAGUUAUUUCAGUUAUUUUGGUAUUGAUAUACCAUAGCUCCAGAUGUUAUGUUUUAUCAUAUUUUUGAACAUUUUGGCCUUUUGACCUUUUAUUCCAUACUUAUACAGUAUGUUAUACAGUGCUCAGUUACAGAUAUCAUGCAUGGAUUAGCUUGUGGUCCUUCAGGGUCAUGAGCCCUUUGUGGCAUUCUGGGUGCCAAAUUUGGGGCAUUACACCUAUCUUCCUGAGGACCUCCACAAGUACCUUGGGAACCACCCCAAUAACUAUGUAUACCACCUCUACUCGAGGUGGCACUUCUCUAAUAGGCUAACCACUCUACAUUGUUGGCACAAUUGCCCCAUGAUAGGGAUAGUCUCUAGAGAAUUAGAUGAAGGCCCCACUAUCAUAACAUGCCCCAGGUGCUACAAUAUUACUAGAAGAUUUGGAUUAGCUAAAAUAACUAUCACAGCUAAAAGAAACAAAAGAUGAACCUCUUAAAGGUUAGCCACUACUCUAGCUAGGAAGAUUAUUGUAGCUCAACUGACCUCCAUCAGUAAUCUAAAGUACAGCAUGAAGAGGUCUACUAGAAUGACCCUGAUGCUGAUAAGAUUAUGUGGGAGUUACAUACCCUGAGAAUUGCUACCUUUAAACCAUGAAACACUCUAAUUCCUACUGAAACUACCUUCAUAAUGUGUCCUCUUAUUGCUUCCCCCUUGGACUUUAUGAUGUAUCUCAUCCAUAACUUGCAUAUGGCCCAAAACCUUAGUAAAGGAUCUACUAACAGAAACCAAACUCUAGUGCACAUGCAAAGAGGAAAUCUCAACCCCUAAAUAAAACAUCAAACCUUCUCAUAAUCGAUCGGCAGAACAUAUGUAGAAUGCCUAUCUAAUUUAUGAAACCAAGCCUUAAACUCCAAAACAGUCAUAGAUCCCCGUUCUAAUCAAAUAAACUGAUCUCUUAGGUGAUCUCUAAGACUAUGGGAUAUAUACUUCUCUAAGAAAACCUUAAAUAACUAAGUCCAUGUAACUGGGGAAAUCAAACAAUCCUAGGAUCAAGAUAACUUCUCCUCCAUUGUCAAGCUACCAAAUGCAACUAGAAAUUGGUGUAAUCCAAACUAUAAACGUUAACUAGGCCUAAAUUAUGGAGCCUGUCUUCACAAGAAACCAAGAACUCGUAAGAAUCCUCGCUCGGUGCACCAGAAAACUUAGGCAGAGUUAAUCUCAAGAAUCUACCCAAAAUCUUCUGUUUCUUAAUUAACAUAAAAGGUUGGGCUAUUACUGACUAAGAAACUACAGUGCUAGAGGAAACUCAAAUCUAAGAGCUGCAGCUAUAGACACCAUUACAUGGUGCACCACUAACUAAACCCAAGAGCUUAAACAAUGCAUCCUUGAGCAGUGAUAAAUAAAUAAACCUCGGUGAAGCCUGGGCUAGCCCUUAGCCCACCACUGGCUAGGGUAGAGAAAUAUUUGUUCUGAGUAGGAAUAAGGUCUGGUAAAGGCUCCCUAUCUUGGUAUUUAGAUGGGUAUACAUCUCUAGGUUAUCCUCAACCUCGGGGCCAUUCACGUGCCCCAAUAGGAUCACUAGUUGCAUACUCGAGGACCUUGUCUCAUAUAGUAGUAGCACACAUCCUAAGCACCUGUAAAAAGUAAAACCAAAAGAAUCUUUCGAAACCAAUAUACACUCUUAGAAAAAAAUAAGUGAAACAAGUGAAGAUCCCCUAAGAAUGUCCUAUAGACUCACAAAAAUAAGAAUUGGACUUUAUCGUUCCGAUCUGUGGGACUCUACUAGACGCUUGGUCUUGUACCAACAAUAUUGGUGCAACUAAUUCUAAUACCAUUUUUUUAUAACUCAAUUUCAGAGUCACGAUGGCAUGUACAUUACCCCACCAGUAGGUAAGCAAAACCAUAGCCUAGAGCUAUAAGCAAUUGGCUAAUUUGGUAAUAGAUGGUAUAAAUGCUGAAAAUGGGAAAGUAAAAGAAUUACAUCAAUAAACCAUGGAAUAAUAAUUAGAAAGGAAGAGAAAUAAAAUAAAUCAUAAUAUACCAUGACCUAGUUUAGUAGAUAAAAGAGCCUCUAAUCCAAAAUAAUAAAAGUACCAACAAAUUCAAUAGAUAACAGUCUCAAAUGUAGAAACACUAUUAAAAUACAUAUAAUGGAGAAAAGGUCAACUCUGACUCUGAGAAAUCACACUAUCUCCAAACUUUGACAACAUAAAUCUUGACAUCAAUGACGGCAACUAGUACUCAAAUAUGCACAAAAAAGAUACAGAAUUGUAGUAUGAUUACAAUUCCAUAGGUACUCAAUAGGAAUCAUCAGUCGAUUUAGCCAAAUCAUAAUAUAAACAUAAUAAAAUGCUUUCUAAGUAAGCUAACUCAAGGUAAGAUGCAAACCUAGAAUAGCACACCAAAUACUAAAAGUAAAUAACCUAAAUAAAAAUAAUAACAAGGAAACACAUAACUACCUCUACAUAACUUCCCACCCUUAAGCUAGAAGAUGUAUUAAAGUAAAUAACCUAAUGCGGUCUCCCACCAGUGUAGAGGGUGAAAUAAGGAAAAUAAUGACCAAAAUUAUACUAAAUAGUUAUAUAUCAAAAUAAUUAAUAUGAAUCCUUCCAUAUCAUAACCACCAGACUCAAACAAGUACCAUAACUAUCAUAAUUAACCUCUUAAUGCCAAACUUGAAUCAAAACCCAUAUCAUCAAUAAUGUCAUAAUCAACCUGGUCAUAAUAUCAUAAAAUGCUAGACACAAACCAAUACUAAUAUCGUCUCUCAAGUAUCAAUCUACAAUAAACCACUACAUAUCUAAACCUCUAUGGAUAAAGAAAAUAAUUAAAGUAAUACGCAAGGUCUAUUAAGUCGAUAAGGAUCUAAUAAUUAUUUUUUCCAAAGCUGGGUCGGAGGUCCCACAUCUAACCCCAAAAUUCAUUCUAAGUAAAAUUAUAUCACAUUAUAAUCUAAGGUAUAUCACUACUAAAUCUUUAACGAGACACAAUUUAGUCCUAACAUAGUAAUUUUACCUAAAAAAUAAGUAAUUAAGUUAACUAUGUCUAAUUACGAUUCCUUAAUUGUCUAAAAUCUUCAAUUCCUACUAAACAUACCUUCAAGAUAUAACUCACAUCCUAAAACUAUCAUAAUAUCACAUUCAUACUAGAAUUGAGCUAAAUCAAGGGGGAAGGUAAACCUAGCCUACCUGGGAUACCGAAGAAAGUCAGGUGAAAAGUACUAAAUAAUUGAUUUCCCCUCUAAGAAGAUUUUGUAUGACACCAUGCUAUCAGAAUGGUAAUCUACUUAUCAAUAUGAGAACAUCAAUACCUAUAUUGCAUUUUUAUGCUUUAGGUCAAAAAAGCAAGUAAAAGUCCCACGUGGGGCCUGCUUGUAGAAUUCUACUUUAAAAAUUGUCCAUACAUCCUUCUAUGCUCAAAGAAUAUUUAUAAUCAAGAAUGGGUAAAUUCCAAACACAAACGAUGUUAAAAUAAGCCCUUCAUAGUCCUGGGAUUUUGGAAAUAAACUGAGGAGUUAACCAUGAAUUUAACCGAAAGUUACCAAUAUUCCAAUAAACAAAUGAGUAAUUCAAACUCCCAAUUAAUACUAGAACCCCUAUCGAUCACUCUCCCAUUUCCACAUAAUCUAGGGCAUUAGCUUAUUCAAACUUGAGGAACAAAUAGGGCGAAAAUUGGGCUAUGAGAGGAUUUAAUGCCCUCUAAGUGCCACUUCAAUGACUGGCAAAUCACUUAAGCGAUCCCCACCUCAGGGAUGGUUGUUGCUUAAGAAAUUAAGAUAUCACUUAAGCGACGCCUGCCUAGCUAACAUGCCAUCUCAUACAUGAUUUGACUGAGGUAGACCUGGCUGAUUAAGUGACCACUUUUCUGCUAAAGCAACCUUUGCUUAAGCUACCAAAAGGUUGCUUGAUAAUACUAAACUUACACUAUUAUUGUAGUGCAAGUCGGUCAUUGUAAAUAUAAACCCAACAAGAGUCGGGGUCGUAUCCACAAGGAGUGAAAACUUAUUUUUUCAAAUUUUAUGUACGUUGAGAGUUAAAUAAGAGUUAACCCAUGAUUAAUCUCAACUUAAACGUCAAUUUAAGUGCAACGCGAUCAUCAUCAAUAUAUUUACCCAACUUUGGAGUCGAGGUCAAAUCCACGAGGAACAGUUUGAGUGGCAAUCAAGUUAAUUUGAAAUAAUAGAUAUAAGUUAAAUUCAAACCAAUGGUAAAAAGGAUAAAAAUGGGGGAGACAAGUGUCUACACUAAUGUUUCUUUUUGGGUUUUUCUAGCAUAAAUUUGGAGAUAUGAAUAAUUAGAGUUUCAAAAAUUAUGCAUGGAUCUUGGGAUUAUGCAUUACUAAGGGAGUGACAUUUGGAUGCUAAUAGCUAACUUUAUUAUUAGUAGAUCAAGUGUGGGUAGGUUUGGUCAUAGGUUUUGAUGCUAGUCUUUUAACAAAAUAGCAAACUUGCACCUGUUGAUUCUUCGAAUACCUAACUGGUGUGUUUAACAAUUGUUAACCAUAACCUCAAUCUAGGUAUUCCUAUUUAUAGGAUGAUACCGUUUAUAUAGUUAACUUCAUAAUCACCCUUAUAUCUAAGAUAGCAAAAAUUUAGCAAACUACACACAUAAUUAUCUAUUAUUUAUUUGGCCUUAUCAUCCCUCUUACAAGGAUGAUGUGGGUUCGUAAAGUUCACCCAAAACACUUUUUUCAAAGAUAGCGUUGAGCUUUCUGGAGUAUGGAGCUUUCACUCAUCAAACCCGUGUGGUUAUUUCGGGCUUUCAUCGAUAAAUCCCAACCAAGUUAGCAUAGGAUGAUAAAACCCAUAAACAUGAACUACUAAAUAGAAGCUAAUAAUAGCAAACCACACACACUAUGAACCCCUAUUCACACAUAACCCCAAGAGGGAGAUCUUGCUACACAUAAGAUAAAUAAGCAUAGAUAUACCCAAAAUCUCUAUUGAAAUAGCUUGUUGAAGAUUAAGUGAAAGUUACUUCAAACUUGGCACUCCCAAAAAUAAACAAUGGAAGUGAGCUUAUCCUCCACUUAGAAAGUCUCCAAUGUAUUCUUCACCAAAAAUUUAUACAAUAUUUUCUUCUCUAGGUAUGGAGGCUAUGAACUCAAGAGAUAAACCUAAAUCUGGGGAAGACGAAAUAUCCUCCAUGAUGCUAGGGUUUGAGUCUUUUUGUCAAAAUUGGGAUCAGGCAUGCGCAUUUCCAGUUUUUCCCUUAGGUUGCUUUCUUCAUCUAAGCUACGAUCACCCGGGUAUGGCCGCAACCACGGUUAUAUUCUGCGACCUUGGUUGAUUGACUUCUGCUUGACUGUUGCGAUCAUGGUCGCCAGACCGUGACCACGGUUACUGAGGCUAGCUGCUCUUCUAAGUGUUCAGCUGUACUUUCUUGCUCCCUUUUGACCAUUUUAAGCUCCAAUCCACAUAUUUCUAUUAUUUCAACUCUAUUCCUACAAAGAGUGGAUAUUAGUGCAUUUUCUAACAAAUAUGUCUCAUUUAUUCGUUCAAAACAAGGUAAUGUACAUGAAUGUUAAGUGCGAAUAAGUUGUAAAAUUACCACUCAUCAACCCAUAAUGUAAAACUAAAAUAAACCCUGAAAUUAAAUAGGGGUUAUGAAUUUAGAUGUUUGUUGAAAAAUUUUUUGCUACAACACCUAUAUAAGAGCAAACAAGUAAUGAGCAAAACCAAUAGAGAGAGUUCUUGGGGCUAUGCCAUUCUAUGGGUAAUUCAUAUAUGGGUAGUUAAAAAUUAGUCCCAACUUUAGUUACUGAGUUUAGGGAGGGCUAGGUUUAAGGGUUUUGGUGCGAGUCUUUCAACAAAACACCAAAAAUUCACUCAAGAAUUCUUACAAAUACCUCAUAAGUGUGAAGAAUUCAUCAACCCAAUACAUCAAUCUGGCAUCCCUACUUCGAUGAUAAUGCCUAUGAACAUAGAAAAUCCACAUAACAUCCUUAUUUCUAAGAUAAUGUCAAGGAAGAAACUAAAAUCAAUUUCUUGUUUACAAUUACUCAUCACCCUCAUCCCUCAUUAAAGGAUAAUGUGGGGUCCAAGAAAAUUAGGGUUUUCACCCUUAAUUAUCACUUCAAACAUUAUGUAAUAGUAAAACCCAACACCAUAAACUAUGAAUUUAAACUACCAAUCAACACCCAUAUACAUUAACACUGUAUUCAAGCAUAACCCUAAGACAAGAAUUUAGCUACUCAUGAUAUUAAAGAAAAGAUAUAUACCUCACUUCAAUUACUAAUUCAACUAAAUUCUCUUAAGAAUUUUACCACACUUGUUCUUUGCCAAAAAUAGAAUAGCUUUUCUCUCAACAAAAUUGAAAAUUGGUUGAAAGAUGCCUCAAUUGUGAAAGGGUUUUGACCUUUUGAGAUUUGGGAUCCAGCUCUAUAAAAUUCUCAUUCUUCCCUUGAAGUUGUUCUGCACCAUCGUGAUCGCAUUCCAUGUGCUGCGAUCAUAUCUCCCACUAUUGCGAUGAUCCCCUCAUAAUUAUUGUAACUUAACUUGGCUUUGACUAGUCGCAUUCACAGCCUGUGGUACCUAAGGGUCAAUCUGUGCUCCUGAUUUCUAGUUUUUGCAAUCACUACGGUCUUUUGCUUGCCUUUUCAGCUUAGCUUCACCCAUUUUAUACCGAUUUCCUACAAACAUGUAAACAAUGGGAUUUGAUGCAUUUAAAUGAAGAAUUUGCCUCAUAUCUAUGAUCAUUUCAUCAUAGUAUUCACAAAUUUAAAUGUAAAUGAGUGCAAAACUUGCCACUCAUCAACACUCCCAACUUAAAACUUUUCUUCUCCUUAUGCAACACUACUCCACAUUCAAUUAGACUACUCAAUUAUAAGUCAAUUCAUUUGACUAAAUGAUCACAAUGACUCCAAACUCAAUAAGCACCAACAAUUAUCCCUUGAGCAUGGGAAAAGAUAUUCAUACAAAUCACCUCAAAAUAAAUCACACUUUUCAUGAAUGCAAAAGACUUUUGAGAACAACCGAGCAACAACCACUAACUCUAAGGAAGUGACUCUCUAUUAAUAGUGACUCAACUGCACUAUUUUGCCUUAUUAUCAAAAUAUGACAACUUCAUCCACCUCAAUUAGUCUACAUGCCUCAUCACAAAAGGAAGUCCCACACACUAAAGUAUCUAUUAUGCAUAAGGGACUAAAGUUCAAGCACUCACUUUCACGAAGAAUCUCUCAAUGCAAACAAGUAUCAUGCCAUAUGCUUUCCCUUAUUUUCAAUCGCCACUAACUUGAAGUCACUUGGUUGGAGAUCUCAAAGGAUAUUUUAAAGCUUGUAUUGUAGGCUAGGGAAAGGGUAGGAUAAACAUUUUGGAUCAAAAAGACUACACCCUCCUUGAACUCUACAUAACACACUAUUUAUUUAAACUUAAGUUCAUGGUCCACUUCGUUUCUUUCUAACUCAUACAUGUGCCAACUUUUGUUUCCUUGAUUCACCCAUCUAUUGAAAGAAUUUUGUUCUCGUCUCUUUUCAUUGUACAAUUCAUGCAUUUCUUCCCUUUGUUAACUCAUUUUAUUUAUUUUUUUUUGUUAUUUGUUUUUUCUUAUUGUUUAGCUCUUAGGUACUCAUUUAAAAUCCCGCGGCCCAAAGUUACCUCUUCAAAAAUUUACCACCCACAACUUAGUAUUUUAACCUUAAGUUCACUUUCAUGUUCAAGAAGGGCAGGUUUCUAAAGAGGGAUAAAAGUCAAAUGGCUCAUGGCUUGUAAUGUGGUUGCAAAAGAAAGGUUCAAAGGCUUAAAGUGAGUGACUAGGGAUACCAUCUAUUUAUGGGUAGGCUUUUUAGCAUAAAGUGGUUCUCCAUGUUCACAAACAAGGCCUAAGAUCUUUUCACCAACCAUACAUAAUCAAGAUUAGGUUUGAGUUACUAAUGGGGAAAGUUCUAGAUCAUAUAAAAAGCAUGAGAAUUACACAACUAAACUCAUCACACAUGGCAUGUAAACUAUUCAAGGAGGCUCAAUUGAAUUUUCUACUAGAGACAAAAAGAGCUAUUUACUAUGUAAUAUCAAGUAAUAAAUUUGGAGUCACAAAAAUUGGAAAGUGUUUUUACAAAACCAUUCAUGCCCAUGCCCAUGAUUUUCACAAAAAAAUUAGGGCGGAGGGGAAUGUUACUUUUGCAUUUUCUUACGCAAGAUAUUGUUAGAACCAAAUCAAACUGUCAUCUAACAUUUUAUCUCUUACAAAGGUAAAACAUAUGGCUACUCAGACUUUAACACAAGCAUAAGGGUAACUACAAAUCUAUAAUUCUAUGAGUACUCAGACUUCCCCUGUAUCUAUAGCUUAAAAAUCCAAAAACAUGAUGAUUUUCCCUUAAGAAUAUCAUCACUCAAUCUAUCAUAGAGAAAGGCUCGUCCAACAUCAUUAUUAUAACAAGAUAAAAAUCUAAGAAUAGAAAAAAAUAACAAAAAUAUGAAAAUAAGUGACUAAUCCAUAAUAAGUAGGCAUCAUCAGGGUGCCCAAUAUUACUAUAGAAUAAAAAUAGCAUCACCCAAAUAAACAUAAAAAAUAUCCAAAUAUUAUAGACCAAAUAAAAUAUCAAAUAAAAUAUGGAGACGGGCACAUUCCAACUAAAACGGUUGUAGUUUCCUCACUAAAUAUAAAUAAAGCAUAAAAAGAGUAAGAAUGACCCCCUAUAUACGAAUCAAGUACUGGGGCCACUCGUCAUCUCCUCAUUAUCCUUAGAUUCUGACCACAUAGUUGUGACCUCUUCCUUAAAAUAUGACCUAGGAUAAUAACUUCUCUCUUUGGGAUUUAGGUCCUUCAACAGUCCCUUCACCCCUUUCCACGUAUGAGAGAAAAAAUUAUCUCUCUUCAUCUUCCUUUUUUUAAUAUUAUCAUGUGAAUACCGUAUCUCCCUAUGUGACUAUGCUAAGGUUGAGUAGGACCUCUCAAGACUAAAUAUGGUGGCCUUAUUCUCCUUCUGGUAUGCCAAAAAUUUCUCAUAGUCAGUAUGUGCAGUAUAAGAGUGGCCAACGGUAGAAGGCCCUUCUGGGCCCAUGGGAAGCCCAGACACAAGCUCCAUGAUUUUUCUUGUCCCACUCAAUAUCUCAUCAAAUAACACUACUAUGGAUGGCCUGCAUGAGUCCAUGCCAACAUUUAUUGACUUGCCUAAGUCGAUUAUCUUCUGCUUGCUCUUCCCAAGUGCGUCCUCUCCCUAAAUCUUAAGAGGGUAAAUGAGGGUCUCCGAGUGUACCCAAGUAUCUCCCAAGUACUCCUUAAUCUUGAAUCCUUUGCAUAGCUCUGUGAUCAAAUAAGGGAACAAUAGUAGGGAGCCGUCUUUGGGCAUAAAAUAUCAUAUGUCAAAGAGAAAAAUACAACCAAUAUUCAAAGGAAUAUUAUCCAAGAUUCACGCUACAAUAUGAGCUCGUGUAUAUGGGACAUAAGUCAUAUUAGUGUAUGGGGAAAUCGGACUACAAAUGAUAGCCAACCAAAUCUGAGUCUCAACUCUGAAAUCAUGCAAUGACAUCCCCAUCUUCAUGAUGUCCCACAGGACCUCUUUUCCCCAACAUAUCCUCUCAACUAGCCAGCACCUUAAUUCAUAACCCUUUUCUUCAAAUUCUACCAUGUCAGCAUCUAACAACUCAUAUAUGUCAUUGAUUUGCCUAGCUUUAAAAUGAACAUUCAUCUCUCAAAUUCUUAUAAGUAGGUCAGAGAAAGAUACUAUGAUGAGGUUAGCAUAAAAUUUCCUCAGCCAAUUUUCAUUUGCCAAUUAUGGAUCUGUGGCAAAGCAUCUACACCCUAUGGCCGCCAAUAUGUCAUGAAAUACCGAGAGCUUCUCUGGCACCUUCUCUAAAAAUAUGCCUCACUCUAUGAGUAGUUAUGUCUUGGGCAGGUCUGCAUAGUAUAGGGUUUGGUACUCAGGGCCUAUAAAGUGAGUUUGGCCGUAGUCUUCCAUAGAUAGCUUUGAAAAUCUAAAAAUAACACCACAACAUUAAGUAUCAAUGUCACCAUGUGAAAACUAUGCUAUGUGGCUAAGUUAAGCUUAAAAUAUGGUUUCUAGAUGAAAUUUGGUCUAAAAUUGAGAAUUUAUAGUGUUUGACCUAGUUGCCUCGCAACCCUCAGAUGCCAUAGUCGCGGGACACUAGACCUAAAUUGUGCUACCUCGAUUGCAGUCAGGUGACCUCGAUCAUAGUACCAGAGGUUGUUGGCCUAAAUAAUCAUGUCCAAAAAUUCCCAUUUUAUACUCUAAUUUGUGUUCAUAACCAACAAUUGAUACUAGGAACAUUAAACGCACUGCCUAAGCACCCAAUUAUGCUUUUAAAAUAUAGAAAAACUAAUGAUGAAUACAUUUGGGAAUUUUACAAAAUACUUGUUGUUCACAUGUUAUUCUUAUCAAUUUCGAACAAUUUUUGCGUACUCAAGACUUCCCCAUCAAUGAACACGUCAAUAACCGCUUCCAACACACCAACCAAGAACAAUUAAACUCAAGAUUUAGCAUAUAAAUCAUGAUUUUAGGCCAUUGCCAUAAACAAGCAUUCUAGGCCCAUUAAUAUACAUUCAAGAAGGGUAUUAGAUAACAUACCUGAUAGGGAGGUACAUAGGGGAUGAUAUGCACUUAUGGAUGCUCUUAACACAUGCAAAAAUGAUUUCAAUUUUAUAGUAAUUUAAGAGAAAGCAUGGUGAAAGUUUUGGGUGACUGUUCAUCUCUUAAAACACCCUCUUCCAUAAUCGCAAUCAAAUAUCUAUGAUCACAAUUACAUAGCAAUAGCGAUUGCAAUAGCAUUGUAAUUAUUAUUGCGAUAAUCGAGGCUAGUUUUGCUCCCCUAUUUUCAAUAACUAAGCCCACAACUCAAUUUCACCAUAUUUCCCCUUACUCAAAAUCAUUCAAAUGCACCCUUUUGGGAUCCUCAUUUUCAUAGAUCAAUCUAGAAAAUCUAACCUAUCAAUUUUUUUAAGGAUACUAGCCAAUUUAAUGGCAAUAAUGGUUGCCUCACAUCCAGUGCCUAAUUUAAAGUCUCAGCAUGAUGUUCUUCAAUCUUCAAGUUAGGUCCUUGAGCUGAGAUAACCCAACCUACUCUCCCUCCUCAACAAUAUUAAUAACCGAUACCACUUGUUACCCACUUAUUCACUUUUUGACAUUGCAUAAGGGAAUGAGAAUCCAUCACUAUGCACCUAGAAUGUCAUUUCUCCACUUUCUAAAGACAAUAGUGCCCUUUCUAUUUCGAAGAGAUGUCUUUUAAGGAUUAUGGUUAUUUCAUGGAUAAUUUCACAAUCAAGCAUAACAACAUCUGUCAAGAGAAUGAAUCUUUUGAUUUUACCAAUGCAUCAUGUAGCACCCUAAUUAAUUUCUUGAUUGAACGAUCUUUCAUCAAUAAUGCCAUUAUGGUGGGUGUAGGAUCACCCAAUAAAAUAUUUUGAUCCACCCUAUAUGGAAUUAAAUUUAUUCUAGAGCCAAGAUCACAUAAUGCCUUAUCAAAUUUGUGAGUCCCAAUACUGCAAGGGAUUGUGAAACCACCUAGGUCAUCUUUGUUUUUGGCCAUGGCAUUGGAUAUGAUGGCUCUACAACUAUGGGCCACUUCAGUAGUCCCACUAUCUACAAGAUUGUUCUUUAACAUCAUGUCUUUGAUGGAUUUAGCAUACCUUUGAAUUUCUUGAAGAACUACUAAAAAUAGGAUAUUGAUUGAGAGGUUGCUAAGAUUUGCAAAAAACUUUUUGAACAUGGCAAUGUCAUCUUUCUUUUUAUAUCUUUAUGGAAAGGGUGGACGAAUUUUCAUUGGGGGAAAUGGAAUACUUUGAGGGUCAUUCCACAUUUUCUUGUCACUAUCAAUCACUUUAAGAGUUUCCUCCUUAUCGUCCUUCUCUUCAAUGAUCAUUGGCUCCUAGUCACCUUCUUUAAGAGACUUUCAAGCACCAACACUUGGUGAUUCAGAUUGCUUCCUCUUCACAUUCAUUUGACCAUCUAGAUACUUUUCUUAACUUCAGUCGCAUGCUCCCCAAGAUUUCUACCACUUCUAGUAACAAUUGCCAAGACAUGGCCUUCAUUCUUAGGAUUUACCAUCGUACCCCUAGGUAGUCCUCAUUUUGUCCUAGCAUUAAGUUGAGUAGAAAUUUUCCCCACUUGUGUCUCUAAUUUCUUGAUGGAAGCCGAAUGUAAAACAACUAUUUGGUUGUGUUGGGAAAAGUUUCUCUUCAUCUUCUUUACUAUUUUGUUGGUACCUUAAACCCACAUCAAAACUUGAACAAGUACAUCCUCAAUUUAGAAUUUAUCUAGGUCCACCGAUCUUGAUUAUUUUUCUUUGACACGAAUAUGAGGACGCAUAUAUCUAUCAUAACCUCUCUUAUUAACCCUUCACUCAUGAAAUCUAUCCCUUAGUUGAAGCAUUCUAUAUGGAGGGAAAUAUCUAUCCAAAAAGGCCUUCAUAAGUUCUACCCAAGAAGUGAUAGAACCAACGGGUAUAGAUCUAAAUUACAAAACUGCUUCACCUAUUAGGGAAAAUAGGAAAAGCCUCAACCGAAUGGUCUCUUGAAUAAUAUGAGAAAUAUCAAAUGGGGCACACACUUCAAUAAAUUUUUUCAAAUGCAAGUUGGCAUCUUUGUAUGUUUGACUCUCAAAUAGACCUUUCAUUUUCAACAUGUGGAGCAUGAGACUCGUAACAUAGAACACACCAUUUCCCUCGACCGUUGGGAUAGGGAUUGCACUCGCAUACCCUGCAUCUUGAAAAUAAGCCUUUAUUGUUCCCAUUACAGCUUAUGGUGUCAUGAUUACUAUGAAAAUUGCCUAAUCAAAAUUAAAAAAAAAAAAACAAUAUAGAUAAAUACACUAUGGGUAAACAAAAAGUUACUAACAACACCAUAUAAGGAAAAACUAAGUUUCACUCCCUGAUAAUGGAGCCAAUUUUUAUAACACUUGACAUACCCUAUUGUUUUAGUGUAAUGAGGUCAUUGUUAAUAUAAACCCAACAAGAGUUUGUGUAUUAUCCACAAAGAGUGCAAACUCAUUUUCUAAUCCUAUGUAUGUUGAGAGUUAACCAGGAGUUAAACCAUAAUGUAAAACUAAAAUAAACCAUUAAAUUAAAUGGGGAUUAUGAAUUUCAAGGUUCGUUGUACAAAAUUUUUCUACAACACAAAUAUAAGAGAAAACAAGUGAUGAGUAAAACCAAUAGAGAGAGCCCUUGGGGUUGUUCAAUUCCAGGGGUUAUUCAUGUAUGAGUAGUUAAAAGGUAGUCUUAAUUUUAGUUAAUGAGUCAAGGGUAGGAUAAGUUUAAGGUGUUUUGGUGAUAGUCAUUCAACAAAACACCAAAAUUUCACUCAAGAAUUCUUUUGAACACCUCAUGAGUGUGAUGAAUUCAUCAACCCAAUACCUCAACUUGGCAUUCCGAUUUCUACGAUAACGCCUAUGAACAUAGCAAAUCCACAUAACAUCCUUGUUUAUAAGUCAAUGUUAAGGAAGAAACUAAAAUCAUUUUGUUGUUUACAAUUAAUCAUCACCCCCAUACUUCUUUCAAGGAUAAUGUGGGAUCCAAGGAAAUUGUGGUUUUCACCCAUAAUUAUCACUUUAAACAUAGAGUAAGAGUAAAACCCAACCCAAUUAACAAUGAAUUUAAUCUAUCAAUCAACACCUAUGCACAUUAACACCCUAUUCAAGCAUAACCCCAAGACUAGAAUUAGCUACUCAAUUUUAAAAGAAAGAGAUAUACCCAAGUUAACAUUCAAUGCUUCUAUUGGAAAUAAAAAAAAGAGUAAUCCCCACUUCAACUGCAAAUUCAACUAAAUUAUCUUGAGAAUUUUACUACACUUGUUCUUUCCAAAAAGUAGAAUAGUUUUUCUCUCCACAAAAUAAAAAAUUAUUUGCAAGAUGCCUCAAUUGUGCAAGGGUUUUGCCAUUUUGAGAUUUGGGAUUCAAAUCUGUAAAAUUCCCAUUCUUCUUGUGAAGUUGUUCUACACUAUUGCGAUCUCACUCUAUUUACCACGAUCAUGAGUCCCACUAUCACCAUAAUCCCCUUUCAAUCACUGUAACUUGACUAGGCUUUGACAGUUCUACUUGAAGGUCAAUACCUGCUCUUAAUUUCUAGUUUGUGCAAUCACGUUGGUUUUCUACUACCAUUUUCAGUUUAGCUUUAAUCGUUUUUGUCCAAUUACCUGGAAACACGUAAACCAUAGGAUUUAAUGCAUUUAAAUAAAGAAUUUGCCUCAUAUCUAUAAUUAUUUCAUCAUAGUAUGCAUAAAUUUAGAUGUAAAUAAGUUACAAACUUGCCACUAAUCACUACUUAAGUAGAUGCAUCAAUUAGGUGAUGCACCAGCUGAGAUUUGGUCUCAAUCCACCCCUUAAGAUUUAUCCAAAAUCACAUAAAAACAAAUGAACUAUUCUACCCUAUCAAGUUUGACAUUCCAAACUUAAUGGCGCCACUAAAAUUUUGUUUUUGGGUCAUUUAAAUGGAAGUAGGCCCCAUACCUAAGGGAAAUUUUCAUCAAAUUCCAACCAAUAGGCUAAAAUGAGUUUGAAAGCCUUGGGACCCAAACUAAAGGUCCCCCUAGACUAUGAUGGAACUGUCAAAAUUAUCAUACAAGGUCAUUACACUAAUUUUUCCCCCCAGUAUCCAAUUCUUAAAAAUGAAGACUUUAAAAUAUGGAAUUGGCUCUAAGAACCAAAUGAACUACUCAGUAGCUGAACAGUGAACUCCUACAAGUCAUAAACAACUUAUAGGAGCUAUAAGAAAGGUCUAGAUGGUGAAAAUACAUGGAAAUAUACAAAAUGACCUAGAGGGUCCUUAUAUUUUAAGAGGUUUUGUAUUUGGUGGUUAGAGGCAUCCUAAGCAUUUAGAAGCAUUUUAGAAGAGGUGAUUUUAGUGGGAAUAUUGGGUCGUUAUGAAUAGGCUAUAAUAAUCUAAAUGGAAGUUUCGGUUUUACGUAAAGGAAUGAAAGAAAAAACUCAAUUCGAGAUUUUUCUAGGGCAUUUGGCUUGGUGGUAGCUAAUUUAAUCUUCCCAAUAAAGGAGGCACACCUUAUUACCUUUUGUAGUUUGGUGACUUAGAUAUAUGUUUUGAUACUUAGGAAGAGUGAUAGAGCACUAUAUAAAUAUUGUAAGUUCAUACCUAUUAGCAAUAUGGUGACCAAACAUAAGCUUUUAGUGAUGGACUUAGAAAUCAAGAAGGGUAGGAAAAAAAGGGGUAUGAAGGCUCAGCCUAGGAUUAUUUGGGAUAUGUUAACUUUGGCUAUUAAUUUAUAAAGAAGGGAGAGUUUGAUAAUAAGGGGGAUUGGGAAACUAUAGGGGAUAUGGAUAGAAUGUGUGAGAUGGAUGCCUGUUGUAUUAGGGAGAUAGUUAAAGAGGACUUGUGUAUCUUGAGAGGCCAUUCUAGCUAGCACUGAGGAGAUUGGUAGUGGAACAAAGAAGUUAAAAGGAAGGUGAGACUAAAAAGAUGGAUUAUAUAAUAUUGGUUGAGAGUAAGAAAGAUAAGGAGAAGUGGACGGAUAGGGAUGAGUAUAAGUUAGCUAGGAAAAGUUCAAGUUAGCGGCUAUGAUGGCUAAGACAACAACUUUAGAUAGCUUGUAUAUGGUUUUAAAGGAGAAUAGAAGGGAUAAAAAGUUGUAUAGGAUUGCCAAGUCUAGGGAAAAGUGGGCCUAUUACCUUUACCAAGGGAAGUACAUCAAAGGGCAGGAUGGCAAAGUCUUAGUUGGCUUGCCUUCAUUAAGAGGAGGUGAUAAUCUUAUUUCCAUAGACUUUUAAAUUAUAAGUGGGAUAGUGGUUUCAUGAUAGGGUCUUGUAACACUCAAAGAGGUUCUAUAAUAAGGGUUAUUUUAAGAGUAUUGAGGUUGAGGAGGUCAAGUGUUCUACUCAUACUAGGCAUAGAGGUAGGGCCACUAAGCCAAAUAAGAUUUUGGUGGAUUUUUUGAAGAGAACUAGUGGGACAAAUAUGGAGUGGAUAACAAGGUUGUUUAACAUUAUUUUUAGAAUGGUAAAUAACCUUAAAGCUUGAAGAUAGACUAUAAUUAUUCCAUUAUAUAAGAACAAGGGUAACCCUUAGAGUUGCACAACUAUAGGGUAUCAAAGUGUUGAGUCAUAAUAUAAAGUUUUGGAAAAGGGUGGUAGAGUUGAGGUUGAGGAGGAUCAUGACUAUUUCUAAGAAUCAUUUUGGUUUCAUGCCAUGUGACUUAAUUUCUGAGGUCUUUCACCUUGUAAGAAGAUUAGUAGAGUAGUACAGUCAGUGGAAUGACUUUCAUAUGGUGUUCAUCGAUCUCGAAAAGGCAGAUGAUAAGCCCACAAGGUGAUUCUAUAUAGGUGAUUCGAGGCUAGAGUUAUUCCAUGGUGUACACUAGGUCGAUUCAGGAAAUGUGCAAUAGAGAAAAAACUGUGUAAGGAGAGUAAGAGGACAUUUUGAGUACUUUAUUAUUUUGAUAAGGUUGCACCAAAGAUUAAUUCUUAGUAUAUUUUAAUUUUCUUUGGUGCUGGAUGUAUUAACGUGGUGCAUUCCAUUGGAGGUGUCUUAGUAUAUGUUAUUUGUUGAUGUUGUAGUGCUACUUCUCAAUACUUAGGGAAGAUUUAAUGAUAAUUUAGACAUUUGGAGAAAGACCCUAGAGUCUAAAGGGUAUAGGUUGAGUAGUACCAAGAUAGAUUGCUUAAAAUGUAUGUUCAGUGAUUUGAUGCAUGAGGCUAACAUGAUAGUGAAGCUGGUUCUCAUCCAUUCUAAAGAGAGAUAGUUUCAAGUAUCUUCGGUAUAUGAUUCAUGGGAAUAGAGAGAUUAAUGAGGAUGUCACACUCCAUAUUUGUAUAGGGUGGUUGAAAUAGAGGCUUACUUUGAGAGUUUUAUAUGGUGAAAAGGUAACUCCUAAGCUUAAAUGUAAGUUCUAUAGAGUGACAAUCCAACCAACUAUGUCUUAUGGAGUAGUAUGUUGGCUAGUUAAAAACUUGUAUAUCGAAAAGUUGAAGGCAACAAAGAUGAGGAUGAUGAUAUGGAUUUCUGAACUUACUAGAAAAGAUAGGGUUAAAAUGAGAUUAAUUAAUAGAUGGUAGGAGUGGCUUUAGUUGAAGACAAAAUAUAAAAUAUACGGUUGAGAUGGUUUGGGCAUAUGAUGAAGAGGUACACAAAUGCCUCAUUAUGGCGGCGUGAGAGGCUAGCUAUGGAUUGUUUUUGGCAAGUUAGAUUUAUGUCAAAGAAAUAUUACAAGAAGGUGAUUAGGCAUGCCAUGGAGCAUUUACAACUUACGGAGGAGAUGAACCUUGAUAGAAUUGUGUAGAUCAGAAUUAGGAUAGAGGGUUAGCGGGUAGGAGUGCUUCCUUAUUAGUAGGGAGGAGCAUUUUGUAUAUGUCUUGUAGUUUAUAGUUUUUGGUGAUGUAUUUUAUUUCGAAUAGAUACUUGAUAGUAUUACUUUGUGGGUGUCUUAUUUAUUUUAUUAUCUAGUGGUGCGUUAUCCUAUGUUUUGUUGUUUGUUUUUAUGGUCUUUGUUUGUUAUAUUGUUAUUUAUUCUGAGUGGGCUGUCUAUCGAAUAUGGCCUCUUUACUUCAUCAAAGGUAGUGGUAUGGACUGCAUAUACUUUACCCUCCUCAGACCCCACUUUAUGGGAAUGUAGUGGUAUAUUGACUAAAUGUGGGGCCUACACCUACAGUUCUAUUUUUCAUAGUAUCCACCCAAUAGCCCAAAAUGAGUCUGAAAGCCUAGGAACCGGAACCGAAGGUCCCCCAGCCUAAAAUCAAUGUUCUAAAGCUGAUGAAGCUAUUGGAAUUCUCAACCACAGUUUGUAACUAAGGGUUUUGGUUUGAGACCAAUACCUUAACAACUAUAGCUCCAUAGUAGGGAAAUGAGCCUAAACCCAAACAAACUACUUAUUAACUGAAUUGAUAGUUUUGGCAAGUCAUAAAUAACCGUUAAUUUCUGUAAGAAUGCACAAAAUGCCAAAAAUAAAUAAAAAUCAAGGAAAUAACUUGGUGUGUCAUUACAAUAUCCACUCCUAAAAUGAAUUUCGUCCGUGAAAGUCAAUGGAUAAGAAGAGCCUAAAAUCUCAAAAGACUGAGGUUUCGGGCCCACAUUCCCUAGCAUGACUUCCUAAAAAAACACUAAGGAGAGAUAAUGAUUUCAAGGGAUUUUGCUAUAGGUAUACCUUUUUCAACCAACUUCCUUACUUCUCUUUCCAAACAAGGAAAAUUCAACCACAACAACCAACUAGCCUUUGUUUGAACUAAUAAUGGUUGAUGAAUUCAAAUCCAUACCACAAUAUAAUAAUAUCACAUUGAUAGGAGCACAACCAAGCAGAAACUCAACCGAGUCUUCAACAAUCCAAGACAUGAAUCAUGCGACCAACCCUAAUAUCCAUGUAUAACCUUCCGUUGCCCAUCCAAUCCUUCCACUUACUCUAAACUAUGCAAAUGCUCAUUUAAGCCCUGUGCGUACAAUCUCAUCAAACUAACGUCAAAGCGCUGAUCCACUAUAGAUCCAUAAUGGUAAGCAUUAGGAUAAGCCCAUAAGUUUUUACCUAGUUACACAGAUGGAUAUGGUCAAAGCCUUCAAUCUCCUACCAAUGUUUUAACUUGUUCGGAAGACCCUCAAACUGAUACUCAGGAGUCUGAAGCAUAAAUACUCAAAAUUGAAAGAUCUUCUCCAGGGUGUCCCACCAAUUGAAUAUGAAACCAAGCUAAGCUCGACUUAAACACACUUUUCCUGUUAAGUAGAUUGUUAAAAUUUUUGGCAAAGACAAAAAUCCGAGAUCAAAAGUAGAAGAACUAUUAUCAUAUGCCGACAAGCUAUAAUUCCACCAUCUCUUCACCAUAACCCAUAUGAAUAGAAUAAGGCCUAAUAGGUAGGUAAGAAGUCGGCUUAGUCAUCCAAUAAAUGAAGUCUCAACUGAAACAAAUUUGGAAAUAAAGGUUGCAACCAAUCUCUACAACUCAGCUAAAAUAUCAACACUAAAGCUUAACCACUCAGUCUCAACCACCCCAACCAAUACUUAGAUAAGUAAGCAUCCCAAAUCCAAAAUAUAUCAUAACCUUUAUGCCUUAUUUUAAAAGAUUCAAAACCCCAAAACUUGGGCCAGUAGAUCUAAACCAAGACCAAACACCCAAAUCAAUCUCACUACCAUUAUUAAGGUAUAUUCCUACUGGUCCGUGUCGGAACUAAAAUUAAAACAUAGAUAAAGAACAAAAUUACAACAGAGGAAAAAACAUAGGAUGAAAACAUAAGUAACCAACUCCAUAUUUGCUGGAGGACAUUAAUAAUCAAAGCAUAAUUGAUAACAUAUUGAGUCUGCAAAGAAUACUAAAAGUAGCCUAAAACUUAAACAACUCUGAGAAAUACAACCUUAACCUAAAAUUAGUUAAUCUAAUACUACAUCUACAACAACAAAUACCAAUAGACAUAUAUCACCUAGCACAACCACUCCACAAAGUCUUAUUGGGCAGAACAAAUAUCGAAAUAAGGAUUUACUGAAUCCACCCAUAUAAAAUAACCUUGGCCUAAUUAAACCACAAAGCACAUCGCAGAAGAAUAGAGUUCCAAUCUUAAUAUCAAUGCCAAGUUCAAGACCUCGACCAAAAAUAAACCAAGCAAAUCAAUAUAACGAAUUCCUAGUUGGUCAACUUAUGAAGAAGCUAUAGAAAAGGAUCGCUUAGUUCCACCACCCUAACUCAACUUAACCAAGAAAAACAUCACGAAGAUAACAGAGUAUCAAACUUCACACCAAUACAAAGAUCAAAACCUUCAUUGGAAAAUAAAUACAACAAAUUAGAAAGGCAAACCUAAGACCUUUAAAUAUCAAUAUGAAGACCACUAUCAGGUAAUAAACUAGCCGUAUUAGAAGGAAAGAUCCCAAAUUGGUUAACCUCAGAAAUGAGACAUAGAAGAAUAUAGCCAAUGCUAGAAUCCCAGUAAAUCAAAAGGUAAGCCCUAGAGUCUCAAACAUAGAAACAUGUAAUAAAACCAAAUUUCCACUCUAGAACCAUAACAGAACCAAGAAAGUCCAACAUACCUUUACUUUUAUAUCUCACUCAAAAAUUGAUCAAACCUCGUUAGCGAAAGAGGAAAAAUGAUAAACCUCACCUUGCUAUAUGAGAUAAAACCAUCUAACCGAGUUAGCCGCCUAAGCAAAUAAAAAUAAUCAUGAGGAAUGGAAUUUUAACUAGAUAAUACUAGUUUAGUAGUCUAUCAAGAAUGAAUUAACCACAACCAAAAUAAUAAUAAUAAAAAGAAAUAUAUGCCACAGAAGGCAUCAAAAUAGAAAACAUAACCAAAUACCACUCUAGGGCCAUAAGAUGGACAAAAUGCCAAGGUAAAGGGACUUUAAACCGGAUAUUACACCCCUAGAAAAAUACAAUGCUAAACCACUCCAUCAACUACUAAAAGAAAUAAUCUAUAGGGUAGUUAUACAAUCAUAAACUCUACACCAAGGUAUAUAAUAAUCAAUAUAAGAAUACUUGGGACUAUAAUCAUAAUUUGGUAUAAAACGCCUAAUUUAAAUCAAAUAAAAGGUAAAGCCAAGCAAUAAAAACAUAUAUAUCUUGAUGUAAAUUAAAGUUAUAAGUUUGAUGUGCACAAAGUAGUAUGAAUCUAAACAGGUCCAAACUUGGACUAAGCAUUUAAAAUACCAACUGAAGUACUAAGUGCACUAACUCUAAAUCAAGGUUCCAUAUAUCUAUUAGAGUGAUCUGGAUGAGCUGAAUAAGUAAUAAUCCCAUACCGGGGACACUUUCUAGACCAAGAAUCGGUCUUUCUGAAGUUGUAAAAAAUCCAUAAAACCUUAGCCUAGAGAGAGACACGAGUUGACCCUAACUAGUUGAUCAACUAAUAAUGAGGACACUCUCUACUAAAAUGAUUAUCCUCCCUAUAGUCAUAGCAUACCUCAAGAUCUCUAGGAUAGUAAGGAAUGUAUAUUGACCUUGCCUGAAAAACCAACUCGUAUCUGGAGCACUCCCUAGACAAAUGAACAAUUUGAGCAUAAAUAAAACAUGCCUCUAAAAUACCUUGACGUACUACACCCACUGAUCCAGAAUAAUCACCAUGGCCUAAAGAUCCAUGCUAAAUACUCUACAAAGUCUUGAGAGAACUCUAUAAACUGUGACUAUUAUGACUAAUCUGAGAACCACGUAUUGUUUAAAAUACUACCUGUGUGGAAUUGAUAGGCUGUAAGUAAAGUUGAUCCAUGGUGUAUCCCUACCUUAAACAAAAUACCAAUAAUACUAUAGUAAUAACAUGGAAUCUUACUACCAAUUCGAUAUGUCCUAUAUAAUGCCCUGAGAGUACACCCUUGACACCAUAUAUGCUUACAGCCCCGAAGGACCAUAAGAUAACCUAUGCUAGUACUUGUUGUAAGCACUAAAAAAUAACAAAGAUCAUGUGAUGAAUUUAACUAGAAAUGCCAUAAGGUUUUAGCAACCAAAAAUCAAUACUGAAUCAUAGUUUAAAAUGUAUGAAACAUACUAUCCAUACUGAUAAAAUAACUAAUAACAAUGAUUGAAAAUUGACUAUUUGUCUAUUCUAGUCUGAAAGCCUCUAAACUGACUAAAUAUGGAGUUAAUGAGACAAGCCCCCAACAAACUCCAACUGACUAAAUAACUAAACUGCUGACAUAACUGAAUAUAAGAUAACAUGUCCUCAAAGGAUAAGGACUCACGCUGCUGCUGCUGCUGAUGGACUGGAAAGUCUAGGUAUGGUUAGAAGCCUGAGCAUCUCGUAGGACAAAAAAUGAGUAUGUAUUUAGUACUUUGAAUGUACUAGUAUGCUUAAUGAGGUUAGGCUGGUAUGCAUGGCUCAUAUGCAUGAAUAAUAACAGGCUGAAUAAAAAGCAUGAGAUAACUGAUGUAUAGUAUGGAAGAAAAUUAAAAAAUCUAAGAAUGCAUGACCAAGCAUUUGACUUGAUACUGGGAUAGUCAAUAAACUAAAAUACUAAACUACUGAUACUGAAUGACUAAGAAACAUAUGCCUUGGUCAAGCAAGACUGGAAACUAGACUCUAAGCUGAAUAAUGAACUAACACUAUGGGAGCUAUCAUCAAACCGACAUUCCUCAAUAUGAGAUAAUUGGGGUCCAACCUAUGACCCCAGUUGGAAGGAAGCCAAGACUGUUCCAUGGAUACUAACACUGCAGUGUGGAUCCACUGAAAUGAAGUCUUAAAGGACUAAUGUGUCACCCUCUACUGGCAGGUUCUCUAGUGAGAUAAAUAUCGACCCUCAACUGGCAAGUUAACAUCUGUAACCUACGCUGGCUAUGUAGUUUGGAAUGUAGGGACUGAUACUAAAUGUCACACCCUCAACUGGCGAGUGAGCCCCCAUCCCUGGGUUCUCUCGGUACUAAAUCCUACUCCCAACUGAACUGACUCUACUUAAUGGACUGAGCUGAACUUGCUAACAUGAUAUACUAGUUGGACUAAUAAUACUCAAAUAUAACCAAAACCAUUCUGAAAAUACUAAAACUAAGUCAACAGCUAAGUUUUUCGAGAGUUCAUAACACCCAGGACUCGAUAGAAAUAACAACAAGACCAUCCUAAAACCUUAAGGACAUGAUAAGUAGUCAUUAUUCAAAACUCAUUCCUUUGGGCAUUUCAUCAAACACUUGAAAUUCAUGGUUUAAACAUUGAUAUUGUUUUAACAUGCAAAGAUAACUUGGUUUCAUUACUAAAAUCACCAAUUAAGGCUAUAAUCAAUGAACAAGAACCAUUCAAAAUUUGUAGGAUUUAAUAACAAUAAUUAUUGCAUGUAAACAUGAUAUAAAAUUAAUAUUCAUGGGUAAAUUUCAUUUUAACAUGCAAAACCCAUAACUUUAAAACUUGAAAUUGUGCUCUUGGACCCCACGGAUGAAUAUUUAACAUACCUUAAUUAAAGAAGUUGUGAAGGCUCUUAGUGGUUUUAUAGAAACUUGAGCUUGAAUCUUGAAAGGGCUAGGGUUUGUUCUUGAGACAGAAUUACUUUCUUUGAGAGAAAUUAUGAAUAACCGGGCAUAUAAUUCCUCUUUAAGGUUUUAAUUUUGUGUUUUGGAUGGAUUUGGGUGGGGAAAAUGACAAGACUACCUUUGGUAAAUCAAUUCAUAACUGGAACGCGAUUGGACCUUUUCUGCGAUGCGCCAAGGCUGUCACCAAAAUUCCACGAUGACAUGGUGCAAUUGCGAUGACUUGCUGGAAUCUGACAAUUGUCAUUUUUAACUUCACCAUGACAUAGUGAGGUGACUACCGCUAUAGCCAUUGUGAUGCGCCACCAUCGUGUUGAGCUGCUAUUUUGGAAAUACAAAUAUAGUCCAAACCUCAUCCAAAAAAUCUAAAACUUACCCGAGACGUGACCCUUACACCCCUGAACUUAAAUCAACUUACAAACUUACGUCUUAGGGUUAGAAAUGUCACUUUAAAAAUCAACAAAGUUAAGAGGCCAAAUAAUGAAAAUAAUUCUUCAACACUUAGUCAAAUUUUCAUGUUCUAAGCCUCUUGUACAUAUACUAUGGGUUGAAUUGAGCUAAGAUAAUUAUAGGGUAUUACAAUAUCUCCCCCUUGGAAACAUUCGUCCUCAAAUGAGACUGCUUAAGCUGAGAAUAUUGAGAUAUUAAGAUUACAUAAUGAUAGGCAUAACUGAAAACAUAAUUACAUGACUGAGUCUGAAAUAUGGUGACUGGCUGAUUUGAUUUGGGAAUGCAUGCUAUGACAUCAACAUGAUUAUAUGGCUGGAACUGAGAAUGGAAAAGAGUAAUUCUAGGGAAAACUGUUACCUUGAACUGAGUCUGAGUUUUCGUAGAAAAAGUAAGAUUACUUGGUACACAUGUCUUAUUCUAUUUCCCAUGUAGCUCCCUCAAUUAACUAAUACCUUCAAAGAACUUUGACCAAGGGAACUGCUUUGUUCCUUAGUCUGCGAAUCUGGUGAUCUAAGAUUUUGACUGGUAGUUCUUCGUAAGAAAGGCCAUUAUGAAUAUCUAAGCUCUCUAAAGUAAAAAUAGCAGUUGGGUCACCAAUACACUUCUUUAAUAAAGAAACAUCAAACACUGGAUGCACUGAUGCCAAAUCGGUAGGCAACUUAAACUCAUAUGCUACCUUCUCAAAAUGAAUAAAAAUGCUGAAAAGAGCUGCAUAUCAGGGAUUGAGCAUCCCCUUUUUGCCAAAUCUCUUCACUUCCUUCAUGGCAGAGGUCUUAAAAUAUAAAAAAUCACCAAUAUCAAAUUUUAUAUCCUUUUACCCCAUAUCUACAUAAGAUUUUGGUCAGCUCUAGGUUGGCUUAAACCUUUCCCUGAUUAACUGAACUUUCUCCAAAGCACCAAACACUAAAUUUGUCCCUAUCAGUGCCGUCUCACCUACCUAAAACCAACAAAUAUGAGAUCUAUGUCUCUUCCCAUAUAAAGCCUCAAAUGAAGCCAUCCAAAUAUUGGAAUAAUAGUUAUUGUUAUAGGAGAACUCAAUCAAUGACAAGUGAUCAUCCCAACUAUCCUUAAAGUUGAUACCAUAAGCUCUCAACAUGUCCUCUAAGGUCUGAAUGGUCCUCUCUGCCUAGCCAUAUAUGUAAGGGUGAAAGGAUAUACUAAGAUGAACUUGGGUCUGAAAAUCCUUAUAAAAAUGAGAGGUAAAUUGAGUACCUCUAUCUAAAAUUAUGGACAAAGGGACUCCAUGCAAUCUACCCAACACUCUAAUACAGAGAUUGGCAUAAUUCUAGGGUGAAUAAGAAGUAUGGGUUGGCAAGAAAUGAGCUAAUUUGGUCAUCCUAUCCACAAUGACCUAAAUCGAAUCAUGUUGACAAAAAGUAUGUGGCAAACCUGUCACAAAUCUAUGUUUACCUUUUCCCACUACCAAGUUGGAAUACUAAACUCUUGUAUAGUGCCAUUAGGCCUUUGAUGCUCAACCUUAACCUACUAAAAAUUAGUACACUUGGCUACAAACUAUGUAAUAUCCCUUUUCAUAUUGCUCCACCAAUUGAUUUCUCACAAAUCAUGGUACAUCUUAGUAGCUCCGAGGUGAAUAGAGUCAUGCGCUCUAUGUACUUCUGCAAGAAUCAUUAUCUUAAAUUAUGUACACAUGGUACACACUAUCUACCCUAGAAAUACAACACACCAUCUCCCCCUUGGGAGAAAACCUCUACUUUUUGAUCUAUAACCUAUUAUUUCAACUUGACCAAGCUAAGAUCUUUAUCUAGCUUUUCUUUCACAUUGGCAACCAAAUAAGAUUCUACACUAUUCUGAACCCAUACACUACCCUCAGCUAGGUCAACCAAAUGAAUGUUUAAUCUAGUCAACUGAUGAAGCUCCUAAACUAACUUCUUUUUAUCAGUCUCGACAUGAGAAACACUACCCAUAGACAAUCUACUAAGGGUAUCUGCCACUACAUUGGCCUUUCCCGGAUGAUACAAAACACUCAUAUUAUAAUUAUUAAAAAAUUCUAACCACCUUUUCUGAUGGAGAUUUAACUCUCUUCAAAAACAUUUACUUCAAACUUUUUUGAUCCGUGAACACAUCAACAUGCACCACAUAGAGAUAAUGCCUCAGAAUUUUCAAGGAAAAAAACAAUAGUUGCUAACUCAAGAUCAUAGUUUGGAUAAUUCUUUUCAUGGGGCUUAAUCUAUCUAGAAGUGUAGGCUAUGACCUUACCUCUCUGUAGCAACACAUAACCCAAGAUUUAGUAAACACUAAACCUAUCUGAACCAUCGAGCAAUAUCAAAACAAGAGCUGAGGUAAGUUAAGUCUUCAACUCUUAAAAAACCUUCUCACAAGAAUCUGACUAUUGAAAUUUGACUUUCUUCUAAGUCAAUUUGGACAUUAGGGACCCAAUAGACAAAAACCCUUCGAAAAACCAUCAGUAAUAGCUAACCAAACCCAAGAAACUCCUGAUGUCUAAUGGAGAAAUAAAUCUGGGCCAGUUUCUCACUGCUUUAAUCUUUUGAGGGUCAACUCUAAUGCCAUCACCAAAAAUAAUAUGACCAAGAAAAGCUACUGAUCUUAGCCAAAAUAUGCACUUACUGGCGAAUAACUGAUGGGAUCUAAGAGUCUGCAAUACUAUUUUGAGGUUGUCAACAUAAUCAUUUUCAUCACAGGAAUAGACAAGAAUAUCAUCUAUGAAUACUAUGAUGAACAUGUCCAAGUUCUGCUUGAACACUAAGUUUAUCAACUCCAUUAAAGCUGUUGGGGAAUUUGUUAGAACAAAGGACAUGACUAGGAACACUAAGUGACCAUACCGAGUUCUAAAAGCUGCUUUUAGAAUGUCAUAUUCUCUGACUCUGAGCUGAUGAAAGUUGCAUCUGAGGUCUAUCUUAGAGAAAUAACAGGCACCCUGAAGUUGGUCAAAUAAGUCAUCAAUUUUGGGGAGUGGAUACUUUUUCUUGAUAGUGACUUUGUUCAACUGACGAUAAUCGAUGUAUAUUCUAAGGGAACCAUCUUUCUUAUGCAUGAAGAGGACUGGAGAGCCCCAUAGAAAAUAAUGGGCCUUAUGAAUCCCUUGUCUAAGAUUUAUUUCAAUAGCUCCUUUAACUCUCUUAAGCUCUACUAGAGCCCUUUUGUAGGGAGGAAUAGAGAUAGGAUGGGUAUCUGGAAGAAGGUCUAUUCUAAAGUCAAUUUCCGUUUUGGGAGGGACUCCAGAAAGAGCUUUAUGGAACACAUCUUGGAAUUUCCUCAUUACUGAAACUGAUUCAAGACUAGGAGUCUCAGAAUUAGAGUUUUUUACUCAAACAAGAUGGUAUACACUUCCCUUGGAUAUCAUUUUUCUCUCUCUAAGGUGUGAAACAAAUUGACCCCUAAGUACUGAAGUACUACCUCUCCAUUCAAGGACUAGUUCAUUUGGAAAGUGAAAAUGAAUAACUCUAUUUCUACAAUCAACUAAGGCAUGGCAUGAGCGGUUCCAAUCUAUGUCGAGAAUGAUAUCAAAUUCAGUUAUUUCUAACACCAUAAGAUCAACUAAGGUGACUUUCUAGUGUAUUGUGAUCGAACAGUUCUUGUAUAGCUGCCUAGCUAUAAUAGAGACACCUAUUGGUGUACAUACUAAGAAGGGUUCUGCUAAAGUCUUAGGGGUGACACCAAAAUUAAUAGUUAUGUAGGGAGUUAAAAAAGAAAGAGAAGCUCCGAGAUCUAAUAAAGAAUCAACAUGCAAAUGAAAGACCUGUAACAUACCAGUAACCACAUCAGGAGAACUUUCCUGAUAUUUUUGGGAAUAAAGUGCAUAUAAUAUAUUUGGGCGCUAACCACUGGUGGCACUUUGCUGAUUCGGGCGACCGGAUAAAAUUAGGGGACGACUGAACUGACCCUAUUGACCACUCUUUAGGUAAUCCCUGACCCUAUGGCCUGGCUUGCCACACCCAAAGCAUACAUCACUGUCAGCUCUACAUACACCUUGAUGGUUUCUAGAGGAUUUGUGCUAAAGAGGAUUUGUGCUACCACUGUUCACACUUCCCUAAGGCUUAGCGCCUGGUGUCCAAUCCCAAUUAUCAUUUCUCAACAUUGAUGCUGGUGUACAAGCUGAAUAUGGAGCUCGGCUGAAGAUUUUUGAUGGAAUUAAGGAUGGUUACCACCCUCUAACCUCAAUUGAGCAAACUUAAAGCUACCCAUUCUAGCUUUCUUAUUCUUCCUUUCUUUUUCCUUAAACUUCUGCUUCUCAAUAUAUUGAGCAUGGACCAUCAAGAUAUGCAAGUAAAUGCCCUUAAUCAAUAUUGAGGUCCUUGAUAAUGCUCAAAUUACACCUCUUUUAUGAGAGAGUAAGCGGUCGUUGUCAAAUAUAUAACCCAACUAGGUUGGGGUCGAAUCUCACAGGGAAUCUGGUGCUAAUUAAGUUGUAUGUUGAUUAAUUGACUUUUAAUCAUUUGUUUUCGUAAAAUAAAUAGGGGGGAUUUGGUUCAGCUCACAAAUUAAUGGUUUCAGUUUAACAAGAUGAAAUAUGUGUAGUAGUAUUCAAAUUCAGAGAAAUAGCAAGCUAGGGUUAUGUCCACCUUGUAGUUUUCAAUACUUGCUAACUAUGAGCUUUACGAAUUCAUACAUGUAUCUUGUUUAUAGAGAAAUGUAUUGUAUUUAAUACCAUAAUCCAAGUGUUUCUUAACCAUCAAGGACUAAUUCACUUUAGUUCUCUCAAAUCAAAAGCGUUUACCAAAAAUAAUACGAAAUCUCCAAGUAGUUAAUCCUGCUAAGGCAUUAACUUAUGAAAUAGGGGUUCGUAAUCCUAUUUUCUUGUCACCACUCUCUUUUCCAAACAUCAACCUUUCUUUCGAACAAGUUUCUUUUUAAGGCACAUCCUCUAUGUUUGCAACCACGAUAAUUCAAGAUAAGUGAAGAGAGUAUGAUGUAAACUAAUCAAUGCAUAAUGAAUUCAAAAUCCACAGUGAUAGAUUGUAUGCUACAAAGUUUGCAUAACCCUAACUAAUAAACUUAUCUACUCAUGAAUAAAACGAAAAUCAUCAUAAAUAUAUUCAUCAUACCAAAAACUAAAAGACGAUCUUGGUGUGCGAAUAGUGAAAGUAAGAGAGAAGAAAUAUUUCUCCCUCUCCUCAAGCAAAGCCGCCACUCUCCCUCUUUAAAAACUAAUAUAGAAUAAUGAAUAAUGAAUAAAAAUUCAGCAUUAAGCCUUUUAAUUAUCUUUUCUCUCAUAAUUGCCUUCUAAGUCCCUAAAUGACAAACUAGUCUUGGACAUAGUUUCUAGGCACCAUAUUUUCUCCAGAUUUCUACUCUCUCUUGUUUCAUGUGCUAUCCACAUUUCAUAGUCCCAUAAUGUCUUCUUCUACCUCAUUAAUACCUGAAAUCAUGCUAAUCACAUCGGUUAGCUCAAUUACAUAGAAGUAGAAUAAAAACAUAAGAAACUAGGCACUUUGUUCUCUAACAUAGGUAAAAUAUGGAUAAAUUAUGAUGCUUAGGCAUAUAAAGACACCCAAGAUCAUUCCUACACUCCUUAACCAAGUUAUCAGCUACACUAGAGACAAACUUAAGCAUCCUAGACUUAUCAUCAGACACCGCAUUAGCAGCAUACCUAGCUGGCCGAGUAAACUUAAAAAAAUACUCUUUCACACUCAUGUUUCCCUACCUAAAAUUAAUAAACUCCUGCACCUUAGCUUUUCUUAACUCCAAGGGAAAGAACAUAUCUAAAAAAGCCGUUGCAAACUCUUUUUAUUCAAAAGGCCCUGAAUCUGCCUCGCUAUCUCCCUUCUAAUACUUAUACUAUGUGUAAGCAACAUCUGCCAAUUGGUAAGAACCCAACUCUAAACUUUCAUUAGAACUCAUAAUAUUAGUUACCUUCUAAGCCAUACUGAGGAACUCCUACCGAUCCUCAUCAAACUUAGAUCCCAAAAUUAGAGAAGGGUUCAUUCAGGUAAAGUCUCAAAACCUAGUUGUGAUAGUAUUAGCAACCGAAAUGGAUAGAAUUGUAGCUAGCUUAUUAUUCUAGGUAUCAACUAAGUGAGCUAAAGUAGUGAAUGCAACUUUGAAUUUGGCAUGGGAGAUAUGCUCAUUCAGGAGAUCUUCUUGGGUAGGUAGAGGUGCGGGUUGAUUCCCAUUUCUCCCUCUAUUAUUCUUUCUGGGAGGCAUGUUUUGUAAACAAAGAUAAGAUUAAAUUAUAAAAAAAGUUUAAGUUGAGCUCAUGCUCACUCGCACGACAUGAUACUGAAAAAGAAAAACCUUUCCUAAGAUGUCUUGUAGCCUCUUGUCCAUAAUUGUGGCAUGUUUCACACCCAUACAUAAGACUCUACUCAAUGCAGCUUUCUGACUCCCUAAGACACUUUAAAAUAUUAGACUCUGAUACUAAGUUUGUAAUUCCCCCAGAGUACACCCUGAAUGCAACAUGCUGCUUACAACCCCAAAGCACCACAAGCUAACCCAUAUUGGUACCUAUUGUGAGUAAUGAAUAAAAUAACAAAGAACAUGUAUGGAAUUUAUCUAGAAAUGCCAUAAGGUUUGAGCUACUGAAUCAUAGUUUAAAAUGUAUGAAACAUACUAUCAAUACUGAUAAAAAACUAAAAAUAACGACUGAAAACUACUUAUCUAUCUGUUCUAGUCUAAAAGCCUCUAGAUUAAUUGAUAUGGAGUUGAUGGGACAAGCCCCCAACUAACUUCAACUGAAUAAAUAACUAAACUGCUGACAUAACGGAAUAUAAGAUAUCUUAUCCUCAAACGAUGAGGACUCACCACUGUUGCUACUAAUGGACUAAAGAUUCUAGGUACGAUUAGGAGCCUGAACGUUCAAACCUAUGUAUACAACAUCAUCGCAUAAGAAACAAGUAUGCGGUCAGUACUUUGAAUGUACUGGUAUGAUAAAUAAGGUUAGGAUGGUAUGCAUGGCUCAUAUUCAUGAACAAUAACUAACUAAAGAAAUAGCAUGAGAUAACUGAUGUAGAGUAUGUAAGUAAACAGUAAAAUCUGAGAAUGCAUGACCAAGCAUAUGACAUGAUACUGGGAUAGUCCAUAAACUUAAAUACUAAAUUACUGAUACUGAAUGACUAAUAACUAUAUGCCCUAGUCAAGCAAGCCUAGAAACUUACUAUGAAUUGAAUACUGAUCUGAGACUGUAGGAGCUAUUAUCUAACCGACAUGCCCCAAUAUGAGCUAAUUGGGUCCAACCUAUGACCCCAAUUGUAAGGGUGUCAGAACUGUGUCACGAGUAGUAACAUUGGCUAUGUGGAUCCACUAAAAUAAAGUACCAAAGGACUAAUGAGUCACCCUCUACUAGCAGGUGCUCUAGUGAGAUAUAUGUCAACCCUCAACUGGCAAGCUUACAUCUCUAACCUAUGCUGGCUACAUAGUUCUAGAAUGCAAGGACAGCUACAAAAGGUCACCCCUCAACUGAUAGGUGAUCCCCCAUCCCUGGAUUCGCUCUGUGCUAUAUCCUACUCCCAACUGAACUGACUCUAAUUAUAGUACUAAGUUGAACUUACUAACAUGAUAUACUAACUGUUGAUAAUACUCAAAUAUAUUUGAAACCAUUCUAAAAGUACUAAAUCUAAGUAAACAGCUAAGUUUUUAGGUAUUAUAACCCCCAAGACUAGAUAGAAAUAACAACAAGACCGUGCUAAAACCUUAAGUACGUGAAAAGUAGUAAUUAUUCAAAACUCAUUCCUUUGGUCAUUUCAUCAAAUACUUGCAAUUCAUGGUUUAAACAUAGGGAUAUAUUUAAUAUGUUAGGAUAGCAUGUUUUCAAUACUAAAAUAACAAAUUAAGACUUAAAUCAGUGAGCAAGCAUAAUUUAAAACAUGUAGGGUUUAAUAACAAUAACAAUUGCAGGUAAACAUGAUAUAAAAUCAAGAUUCAUGGAAAUUCAUGUGUAAAAUUCAUGAUAACAUAUUAAAACAAUCGCUUUAAAACUUGAAAUUGGGUUCUUGGACUCCAUGGAUGAAAAGGACCCAUGGAUGAACAUUUAACAUACCUUGAUUAAAGAAUUUGUGAAGGUUUUUGGUGGUUUUCUUUAAAUUGGAGCUUGAAUCUUGAAGGGGAUAAGGUUUGUUCUUGAGAGAGAAUUACUUUCUUAGAGAAAAAUUAUGAAUAAUGGGGCAUAUAAUGCCCUUUUGGGGUUUUGAUUUCUUGUUUUGGAUAGAUUUGGGUAAGGGAAAAUGACAAGACUACCCUUGGGAAAUUAAAAUUUAUAAGUGGAAUGCCGACUGCACCUUCANNNNNNNNNNNNNNNNNNNNNNNNNNNNNNNNNNNNNNNNNNNAAUGCCGAUUGCACCUUCACCGCGAUGCGCCAAGGCUGUCAUCGCAUGUCUACCAUGAUGGGGUACAAUCUAAGUGACUUGUUGGAAUCUGAUAAGGUUUGUUUUGAACUUCACCACGACGUGGUGAGUUGACCACCAAUAUAGCCACCGUGAUAUGCCAUAAUCAUGGUGAGUUGCUAUUUCAGAAAUCCAAAUAUGGUCCAAACCUCAUCUGAAAAAUCCAAAACUUACUCAAGAUAUUCCCCUUAUACACCUAAACAUGAAUUAACUUACAAACAUACAUCUCAGGGUCGGGAAGAUCACUUUAAAAAUAAAUGAAGUUAGGAGGCCAAACAAAGAACCUAAGUCUCCAACACUUAACCAAAUUUUGAGGUUCUAAGCCUCUUGUACAUGUACUAUGGGAUAAAUUGUGCUAAGACAAUUAUGGGGUAUUAAAUCCUAAUAUAUGCUCUAUAUUUUUCUUUUAUGAUCAACAACCUUAAAGAAAGAAUACCCAGAUACUAUUAAAUGCUCUGAUACCAAAUAAAGUGGAAAAGCUAAGCCUUCAUUAAAUCCACGUACAAUCUCAAACUUCGAAGGAUAUAGCAUAGAAAUAUGUUUGGCCCACACAAGAAACUAGAUAUCAUACAUAGAAACUAACCAAGAACCUUGUAAAACACUAAUAAACCUAACUCGAGCCUGAGAACUACUCUAUGUUCUGAAGAUCAUCUCUUAUUAUGAGGUAUCCAGAAAAAUGAUCAAAAUCCCCAAUGUUUAAUUAUUAAAGUUUAAAACAGCCAUAAAUUUUAUAGUUCUUAGGUUGGCCCCAUAUAAUUUGGUUGACACUAAAGAUCUUUAAUAUAAAUGUCUGACUCCUUAGCUCAAUGCCGAGCUAAAUAUCUAGAAACACGUGUAAAAGCCUCAUCCGAAUUUAUCGAUAGCCUUAUAUCAUCUACCUGGAACAAAAUAAGGUCAAGGAACCUACUGGUGGUUCAUAAAAAUAUGGACACGUGGUAAGAAGUCAAGAAUAGAAUUUUCUAAGAAUGGCCCAUAUCCUCUCAAAGAUAAGAUACAAAUGUCUAUGUAUUGAUUAGCAGGACUUUAUAAACUUUAGCUCUUAUACCAACACACUAACAAACCUAGGAUCUACUACCAAUUUGUCACAAACUAAUUUCUUAUUUCAUAAUGGCACCUACUAUAACCCAUAAGUAGGUGAAAAACUAGUAAUUGACUAUCAAAAGAAAUAAAUGAAACAACAGAAUAAAUAUGGUUAAAACACUAAUAUAUAUAAAGCAGCCCUAAAACCUGAUGAAAUUACUACAGAGCUUCUAAUACAAUAAGAGAAUAAAGUGAGAUAUAAAGUAAAUAUAAGUAUAAGCCGCCAUUAAGUACAAUGUAGAGAUCAGUCUAAUCAUUAAGAUGGAGAGUGGAAUACGUUAAACAUUAGGAGCUCAUACCAAAUCUAUGAUCCAUAGAUACUCUGCACGAUGCAUGCAAUAAUGGCAAGAACUUGUACUAUGAUCUGAAGGCUACAGAAGUGUAAUAUGAGUACCAAACAAGUGGUACUGAGUAGGCAUCGACUGACUGAGCUCCAAAGAAAAUACAAGCAUAAAUAAGCAUGUAAAGUAGGAAUAAAAACUAUAGGCCACCAUCUAAGAAACUAAACAUGAUAGUGCUAACAAGCAAUAAGGAUAAUUUAUCCUAUCCUAAUAGUAUUUAUGGUCUAAAGUAAAAUAUUGUAUAUCAUUAAAUAAUAUACAAGAAAGAGUGAAAGAAAGUUCUAUAAUAGAAUCAAGUCAUUGAAUACAUAUACAAUAUGAAUUGACAAGAAAAAGAGGGAUAUUUGAUGAUACCAUACAUAUAUACAUACAUACAUACAUAUGGGCUAACUCAAGAUAAUGACCUAAGGUAACCAUCUAACAUAUAAGGCAUCCUAACUAAGUAGAAAAGCUAGUGCUGGCAUAAUCAGGGCCAAUAAGCAUAAUGUACUACCACAAGAACUAUUAAUAAUGUAAUUUACCAUAAAAGGAAAGGGAACAGUAGCAUACCGACAACCUCUGGUACCAAUCUAUAAUUAACCUUCUAUAGAUUAACAAUAAUAAUAACAAUAAAUUAUUGGCUAGUUAGAACAAACAAUAUCUAAUCAAACCCCCAUAAGCCUAAAAGGUUCAAUCUAGCACUCAACAAACAACAAUCAUAGCCUACACCUAUACAACCCCCAAACCGCUGAAAAAUAUAAGCACCAAAUAAUAUACUGGCGAUAGGCAAUGCAUAUAAAUAAAUGAAUAUACUAUAAAUUCAUAGUACAAUAUCUGAUCCAAGCGCCAUAAUGUACCAUGUGUAUACACCUUCUCCAGCUCAACAGUUCAUUAAGGUAGGACCUACAACAACCUCUUUUCUAUAGCACAAUGUCUCAUUAAUAAAUGGGUUGUUAGGGGAUUUGAGAAUAUUUAUACAUAAUACUUGGUCUUAAUCAAAGAUUUUCAAUAAUCAUCAUCAUUAAUGUACUUCAUCCAGUACUAGAGAGAUGUAUAUAUAACAAAUGCAUAGACUCAACCCAUGGGUAAAGAAUGUAAGUAUGUAAAUAAUUUACCCGAGAUAAACUCUGGGACUAAAUAGUAGAACAUUAUAGAAAGGGUCAAAAUCUCUCUUGACCAAAGUAAUAAGUAGCGGUAAAAAACCAUAGAGUGAAAUCGUUCUUGAUCAAAUUUCCAAAAUAUCAUCUUUAGUUCAAAACCCAUAAAUUAUCAAUAAGAUUUUACAAUUACUAUUAUCGAAAAUUCUAUUUAAAGGUGAAAUAUGGGAAUAAAUCCUUUUUUAUAAAGUAGAAGUAAAAUAAUAGUUUUGGUUGAAAUCAUACCACUAAAUGAGCAUGAAUGCUCAAAAAAGUAUGCAUACCAUCAUUAGUAUCAAAACAAUUUAACAAUUAGUGCCUAAGUAUCCAUAAGCUAGAAUCACGCCUUUUAUAAUGGUAAACACUCACAUGGAGACUAACUGGUAUCUUAAUCAUGGCCUCAGGUCCAACAAUAUAUAACUAGCAUAUUAAUUCAAUAAUUCAGGAAACUAUGAUCCAAGACAUUAAGUCAACUUGUAAACCUUAUACUAAAGGAUACUUAGCAUCAAACUGUUGUUAACAUACUUAUAACCUAGGGUGAUAAAGAUUCUAUAGCCACAACAAGUAUUUCAUCUUAAGGAUUGAGUCAUCAUUCUAACUCCAAACUCCCAAAUUUGGAUAAACCAUAAAACAUUUCUCAUAAACAUAAUUUAUUACCCUACCUAGCAUGAAAUCUAAACUAUAUACUAUCUCAUAAAGAAAACUAGACUGUAGCCUACCUCGAUACCGAAAAACAAUUCAUGAAUUAUCCAUAAAUCAUGCAUUUUCUAUCCAGUUAUUCAAAUGUUACCAUACUAUCAAAAUAAUAUUUUACACAUCAAUAAGACUAAAAUAAGACUCAUCUUGCUAUAUAAAAGGUUGGGUUAAAAUUUGGGUCAAGAAUUAGCCCAUGGGGCUUGCAAAUGGAAUCCAAAAUUGAGUCCAUCACAAUGGCCCUCAAAGGACAAGAAAUGUGUACUCAAAAGUUAAGCACAAAUAGGACACAAAUCAGGGCCCAAAUUAGCUCAUAAAGUGUAGAGAUUGAAGGACCUAAUUUCUAAUAACAUACAAUAAAAAGGGAUGGAAUUUUAUGGGAAAAAUGGUGGGAAAUGGAUAAGGAGUGUUGGACUAACUUACCUUAGAUUCAAUGGAUGAUUUCCCAAACCUUCUCAUGUCCCAUGCUCUAAAAAAUAGGGGAAAAUUAUUGAUAAUUGAAUGAGAAAUUUUGGUAAAGUUUGGAUAAUUCCUUGUGAAUGACACUAAAGUGGUUAUUAUAAUGCUUAAGUGACUACAACUUAAGUGGAACAUGUUCACAUAAGAAGUCGGGCAAGGACAAGAAGAGAUCUCUAAAGAGUUAUCCUAUCUUCUUAAGCAGCAUCUGCUAAAGGGAAAAGGGAUCUCUUAAGCAUUCCUUAGCAAAAUAGGCAAGACUACUAAAGCAACUUAAUGAUACUAAAUUUACUCAAUUAAAUAGUCAUUAACUACUUAAGUGGUUGCACUAGAAUAUUAAGGCAUCAGAUUUCUUUAAGUCUACAUGGAAUCUAAUCAGGUGGUAGGAUUUGUUUGAAAUCUCGUAUGUGAAAAUAAACUAUGCUACCAUAGAAAAUUUGACAUUUCAGACUUAAUAGAACUAUCAAAACUUCCAUAUAAGAUAAUUUUAACUAAAUUUAGGCAUAUACCUAUAGUUCCAUUUUACAUAGAAUCUACUCAAUAGCCUAAAAUGACUCUGGAAGCCUUGGAACUUAAACUAAGGGUCCCCCAUCCUAAAAUUAAUUUUCUAGCGGUGAUGGCGAUGCCAUAAUUCUUAUCUAUGAUCGUUAACUAGGAUAUUUAGUCUAAGACCAAUUCCUUAAUAAAGAUAGCUCCAAUGUAAGGAAAUUAGACUAAAACCUAAAUGAACUGAUCGAUAGUUGAAUUGAUAAUUUUAGCAAUUCAUAAAUGACCUAUAGAUGUUGUGGGAAUGAUCAAAAUGCUAAACAUAUAAGAAUAUUAAGGAAAUAUACUGGAGGGUUAUUACAAUAGUAAAACUAGGUCUAUGGUUGGACAUAUUAUAUAUUUUAUCUUUAUUUUAUUUCUAUCUGGCCUAUAUCUAUAUAUUUAUGCAAUAAUUUUGUAUUUAUCUAUACAUGGUGGCCCUCUUAUCUUACCUAUCUUAUUGCUAAUGAUAGAUAUUACUUUUGGGAUAUUGCUUGUGUAUUGGCUAACAUAUUAGAUAGUUAUUGUAGGAGCCAUCAUAGCCUAAUUUAGGUUAUGAUUCAAUGUUAUAAGAUAUUUAGGUUCACCGAUCCUAUUGUUACAAGAAAAGUCCUCAGUAGAGUUGUACAAAUUAGUGUGAUAGUAUUUAUAUCCUCUCUCUGGGAGUCUAAAGGGAACAUUUAGGAAAAAUCAACAUUCUUGAUUCCUUUAUGUGUUUUCUUACUCCUAUGGGAUUAUAAAUAUCAUUUGUUCCACUCUUUUACACAUGGUUAUGAUAAGGUUGGUAGCGGGUAAAAAUAGGGGUGCUAGGGCCCCAACUAUAGGUUGAGGCAAAGGUUAACCUAGAGGUUGAGGUUGGGCAUAACCUAUAUCACCAUCUUGGGGCUAGAACAUAUUAUUACGACCUAAUCUAGAUAUAUAUGUAGGGAAUCUAUUGCCUCAAAUAGAAGAUUGGGGGUUAUUCUGGGUACUAUUUGGAUUUGUUUCCAUAGUGCCUCCCCAAGAUACCAUGAUUAAGAUUUUGAGGUUCUGGAAGGUAUGUAUAAGCAAGGGUGUUACUAGGUGAUUCAAUCUAUCCUCAGGUUAUAGAUGAGGUUCAAACUUCAUGCCAAUCAAACUAUUUCAGCAAAACCGUUAAUGAGUACUAAAGUGCAAAAGAUGCUUGGUCGAUUUAUCAUAUUUGGUCAUUUAAGGUUUUCUAGAGCACCAAGAGAGAUUCUCAUCAGUUCUUAGUGAUUAGUUAUGAGAGGUUGCAUAACCUCAAUUUAGUGGAGGCACAUAGGAUGGAUUACAUAAUAUUUCAAAUAGAAAGGCUAGAUAAUUGAUGAAGAGUGUAUAUUGAGUGUAGGCCGGAUGGUCUCCUCUAAUGACUUAGGCACAGUUCUCUAAGGCUUUUGGGGGGAAAUUAUAUGCCCUGCAUAAUAAGAGAGAGGUUUCUUGAUUAGUUUAUAGAUCUUUAACAAGGAUGCAUUUCUAUUUUAGAGUUUGAGAAAUAGUUCCAUAAGGGGGCUAGAUAUGUAGCGAUAAUUAUUUCUAUAAAGCAUCAGAGGGUUCACAUAUUUAUUAGGGAUUGAUUUUAUAGCUCUAUUUAGCAAUAGUGCACUUACUUUAAUUGGAGUAUACUUUCUUUUAGUUUUCUUAUGACACUUAGACUCUUAAUAAGAUACAUUAUGAGGUAUAUUAAACAAGAUAUGAGAGGCCCUACCAUCAAAGAGGUUUUAGUGGUUCUUAGUCUCAAGGUAGGGGCUGCCCUGGGAGGGUUUACAAUUAGCACUUUUAGCCUAGUGGUUAGAUUAGCCAAGGUUUUAGCCAAACUUCAUGGGGUCUAGAGUUAUUACAUUUAGGUCGCUUAAGAUAUUUGGGUUCAACAAAGCCAUCACAAUAGUCAAUGAUUAGCAAAGGGUGAAGUAAGUUGGUUCAUUUUUAUAUUGACUUGAUUUUUGGUGAUUUUUGUUAAUUGUUAUUUUUUGUGUGAUUUACCUAUGUUACCCUCCUCGUGGUUGUUUUAUGGUAUUUUUGGGGUUUGGGGAUUAUAAUAAAGGUUCCCGAUGUAUUUUGAUAUAAUUUAUGUGAGUUGUGGUUUUUUAUGGUUAAAAAGGAGCAUUAGUUGACUUUGGUCAAUAGUUAUUAUUCUGUAUGUUGGAUGGCAAAACGAACUAUGCCAGCAGAUUUGAAAUAUCUAUUUUAGGUUCAUAAUAUGGUUGGUAUAGUUUUACAACUUUUAUAUCUCAUUAUGACCCUCAGUUUGUAAAGUUGUAAAAUUGAGUUUCUAGGGUCAACUUUGUGAAAACAAAGUCUUUUAGAAAAUCUAUAUUGCCACUGAGUUAGAAGCAUUGAAUUUGGUAGGGUAGAAUAGUUCAUUUGCAUUAUCGAGAUUCUAGAUGGAUCUCAAGGGGUCCAUGUAGACUUAGAAUUUUCUACGUCUUUAGCCGAUGCACCACUUAGCUGGUUUAUCUACUUAAGUGACAUUUUGGUUUCUUAAGCGAAGCUCGCGUACGUGACAAGCCAAUCUCUUAAACAACCAAUCUUCCAGCCAAAGGUAUUGCGUAAGCGACUCCCUCAUUAUCUGAGUGAUUAUAGCUAAAUCAAUAUCCAGGUUGCUUACACAAUAAUAACGGUCUAGAAGGGUAUCAUAAAAACAACACGUAGACCCUUAAAUGACUUAGUGUUUGAUUAAGUGAUGCCUUGGUAUUAUUAUACCCAUUUUCACAAUUUUUCACCAUUUUUGAUACUUAGAGCUUGGGGUUUCAUAGUUUUGGGCAAUUUCUUCCAUUUUCAAGAUCUGGUAAGCUCUAAAAUCCCUAUUUUAAUUAUUUUCUUUGAUUCUUGUCAUUUAAAUUUUGAUAAAACUCACUUUCAAAAGUGGAAAUUCGGUGAUUUUUGUUUGGAAGGCCUAAAUUAGUACUUUUUCUAUUUAAACCCCAAUUUCAACCCAUUUAUAUUUGGGUUCUCUUCUAUGUCUUCUUUUAAUCAUGGGUAAUAGGUUUUUUGAUAAAAAUUCUGAUUCUACUCUUUUUUCAGAAACCCAUUUUUGGGGUCUAUUUUGACCCUAACUAAGAAAUGGGCAUUAUGGAUAUCACUGACUUUCUUUUGAUGCAUAGAUUUUAUAUUUGUAUAUUUUAGUUUGUUAUGAGUUUGUUCAUAAGGGGAAUGCUUUGUGUUAAAGGCACUCGUACUUAGUUUUCUUUAUUUGAGGUAGGUUAUAGCUUAAAUUUCUUUAAACUAGGUUGGGUAGUUAAUAUUGGUAUAAAAGAAUGUCAUGUGUGUAGGAAAGAAUCAUGAAAAUGGCUUUAUUAUUGAUGUGUGCCUGUAUGGGUCCUGUGUUACUGUUUGGUGGUUUUGAGACAUUAUUUUCAAUGUAUGAUCGUGUCGGAUCUUAUACAAUGUUACUUGCCUGGUAUUUAAGUAAUUGGUUGUAUUCUUCUUUGUGAAAAAAUGUCUAAGUUGGUGUUUUUGUGGUAUCAAAUGGAAUAUUAUUGUAUAUCUACUCUAUUGGUUUAUGGACUAUAUUAGAUUAUGGAUAGUUUGCAUAUUGAGAGGAUUUUUAGCUCAAAUGGUUGGUAUAUUUGUUGGAUUUAGAAAUUCUCAUUCAAGUUGUUUGUGAGAAUUAUAUCCUUAUAUCAUACACAUUCAUGAAACAUUGGUAUCGCCAUGAAAAUAUUGACUUUUUUUGAUAGAAAAUGUGAUGUCUUUAAAAACUAUCUGUCGAUAUAUAUACCGGAGAAGUGUUAUGGAUAUUGGAUUGGUAUUGACUAUUGGAUUAUAUAUAGGUUUCCAAAGUAGUCAUAGGUCCUAUCUUGAGAGUACAAUUCGAUAGAUGUGUAUGAAGGUUGUGCGAUAACCUCGUGCAUUAUAUCAUCAUCACCUACAUUGCAUUUUACACAUUAUGCACAUUCUAUGUUGUAUUUUUAUUCUUUAUUGGAUAUCUAUCUAUUUGUGCCUCUUUCUUGUACUUGUAUUUAGUAUAUGUGUAUAUUGUAGAACUAUUAGUAGAGACCGUAUAGGCUACUAUUUGGGAUAUUUAUUGAUUCUAGAUGAUGUGCCCAUAGUGUGUAUUUUAUCCUUUAUUUUCUAGUUUGCUUUAUCAACCUAUGAUACAUACUAAGUACAAGUGGUUCAUACUCACCCCUACUAUGCUCUUUUGGUAUCUAGGUAUAAGUGUACUACAAGUAGCUGAGGAGUAUUUUUGAGGUAGCACUCAGUCUAUGUUCCAAAGUUGAUCUACUACAUCAUUUUUUUUGGUUUAUGUCUAGUUUUAUAUAUUUAGAGAUAGAUUAUGUUCCUUUUAGACUGUUAAUUGAAAAUUAUGCCUUUAAAAUGUAUUUAUAUGGUUCUUAAAUUAUAACCCUACAUUUUUGGAGAUAUGGUAUCUUUGUUAUGUACCUUUCUGCUAUUAUUAUAUAUGUAUAGUUAGCUUCAUUCAAGAAGCCUUACCUAAGAUUUUAGUGUUAUUUUCCCUUAUCAGAUCAAUUUACGUGAUAGGAUUACUUCUCAAGGCUUUUCUUAACAAGUGUCAUUAUGACCCAUGGUUUUUGGGUCAUGAAAAAUUGGUAGAAGAGCAUCCAGGUUCAUUAGUCUUAGUAGUGAAAGAAUAAGGUGUCUAGUAGUCUCGUAGAUCGAUAUGUAGAUAUUCAUAUCUAUAUCCAAGAUUCUAUAAGAUAUCUUUAGAAAAUAUUCCUUAUUUUUUCCUUAUCAUGCAGAUUCUUUCAUACCUUGUGUUUCAAAUUGUAUUUCACUCUUUUUUCAACAGAUAGUAAGGACUAGAUCCAGUGAGCCUAGAGAUAUUGAGCCAACAUCGGAGGAUAAAGCUCAGUCUAGAGGGUGAGUUGCGAUUCAUAGAUAGGCUUGUGAUAGUGGACGAGCAUAAGGAUAUACCCCUUAUAGAAGUAGUAGUAGUAGAGGGCUCUUCAUUGAGCCUUAGUUUGAGUAUACAAAAGAUAUGGGGCCUACUUAAUUCCCACAAAGUUCUUUUAUCCCAACCUUUGAGGAGUUGCUGAUUCAUUUGCUGACUUAUUUUGAGGGUGUUUUUUUAUUGAACCCAGUGUUCCUAUAGAUUCGAGUAUUGUACCUCUAUUUGUACAAGAUCCUACCUAUGGUGUUACAUCAGCUCUGAGUAUGGACCCCUAGUGGUGUCGACAUCUGCUUAUGGUACUCUAUAGACUUCGAGGUUAUUACUCCUUUUAUGCUGGUAUUUGAGUAUAGUAUUCUGAGAUUAAGAGUUUGAUCUUUAUCUAUAUUACCCCCUCAGGUAGGAUCUCAGCCAGCCAAAUUCGUUAUACCUCAUAUUUUUAUUUUUCUGAGGAUUAGAAUAGGUUUAAGAGUUUCACUCAUUUGGGUCCACCUAGGUUUAGUGGUGUUGUAGGCAAGAAUCACUAUGGUUCUUGAUUGAUUAUUGGUAAAAAUUGCAUAAUAUUUGAUUUCUUGAGUCACAUGGGGUUUCUUACACUACUUACCUUUUAAGAGAUUUAACAAGGGAUUAUUGGAGGUCACUUGUUAGUUAUAGACCUCUUGGAUUGCCAGAGAUAAAUUGGGAUCAGUUUUUUGUGGCUUUUUUAGAUAUGUUUAUGUCAUUUAGUGAGAGGGAUCCGGUGAGAGAUGAGUUUGUUCACUUGGCAUAGGUCCUUAUGUCUAUUGUGGAGUAUGAGGCAUGCUUUUAUAUCUUGUCUAGAUAUUCUUAUAACAGUUUUACCAUUGAGUUUGAGAAGAUUUAGAAGUGUGUGAAGGGGUUGGAUGUUUUACUUUAGUAUUUACUACCUAGAUAGUAGUGUCAGGGGCGUCAUUUCAGAGCUUAGUGGAUUAUGCUAAGAUGGCUGAGUCUAUUUAUUGAGCAUCUUUGGGAGGCGCCAAGAGGGUAUGCUGUUAGGGUGAGUUCAAAGAUCACACUCCUUGAAGUAAAGAUUUUAGAGGUUUCUAUAGGUAUCAUGGAAGACGCGUUUAGGAAGCAUUAUAGGAUUUAGGUAAUGGGUUUUUUGGUUCAACAACUUUGGGUGGUCAUUUUAGCUCAGUCAUGCCCACCAUUAUAGAGUCGGGCCACAGAGUGUGCUUUAUAUGUAUGAGGCUGGCUAUUUGACUAAGGAUUGUCCUCAUCAUAAUUUGAGUCCUACCCCUAUAUUGAUAGUGUAAGGUAUAGGUUCUACUAAAGAUAUAUGAGGUAGAGGAUCUUGUGAUGGUGGUCUCGAGGCUACUUAGUCGAGUAGUGGUUGUGAAUAGUGCGCUUCUAUACCUACCAGACAAGAGGCAGAGGUUUUUUACGCUAUUAUCACAAGUAUUAUCCCUAUUUAUUUUAAAUUUGCAGCAUUGUUAUUUGCUUUGAGGUAGACUUUCUCCUAUGUGUCUACAUAUUUUGCUUUGGGUUUUGAUUUUACUAGUAAGACUCUUGCCAUACCUAUUAUGUAUCUACUUUUAUAGGAGACUCUUUAGUGGUGGAUUAGUUACACCGAUCUUGUGUUAUGACCUUUGUUGAGUGUAAGACUUGGGUAGCUCUAAUUAUUCUAGAUAUGGUAUAUUUUGAUGUCAUCUUGGGUAUGGAUUGGUUAGCUUCUUAUCAUGCUAUCCAAGGUUGUUAUGCUAAGAUCGUGACCUUAGCUUCACUAGUAGGUUGAGGAUAGCUUAGAAGGGUGUGCUUCAUUUGGGUCCCAAGAGAGUUAUAUCUUUCCUUAGGCUCAGUGCUUAGUUGAGAGGGGAUGUUUAUGUUAUUUGGCCAUAUUCAUGAUAUUAGUGUUGCUUUACUGCCUGCUUAGGAUUCUUUUUAUAUUGUACAUGAAUUCAUGGAUUUUUUCCCUAUGGAUUUGACUGGUGUGCCUCCGAAUUAUGAUAUUGACUUUACUAUUAAUAUUGAGUUGGUGAAACACCCUGGGUUAUGAUCUUUAGAAAAUUUCUCGGGUUUUGGCUUCUGGACAUCAUAUGACUUGGGGUACUUCUCAUAUGAUGUGGUACGGUUUGAUUAAUGUUGGUCAUAUGGUAACCUGUGUGGGUUGGUUGGUUUCUAUCUAAGGUACGACUGGGUCAUACUAGUCGUAUCUUGGGAUACUUAUAGUAUGUUUCUAAUCGUAUAUUUCCCUAUGUUUAACCUAAAGGAUUCUAUUCUGUGUAAGGUACGUAUUAGGGUACUGGUCGUAUGAUUGGGUAUGGUUUGGCCAGGGUGGUCGUAUGUUGGACAGUGUUGGGGUCCGAGAAGAGGCUUAGAGUACGGAUAAGGGUACCACAUGUACCCUAGGGUACAGUUUAGGCAAUGGUGAUCAUUCCUUCCUGUGGGAAUUUUGUGCAGUUUAAGUUGGGGGUAAUCUAGAUAUUUCCCCUCUUAACCUCUUAAGGCCCUACGACUUAAAACGCUACUGGGAUAUCACUUACCCUUGUAUUCUAAAUCUAAAUGACAUUAAACUCUCUCAAAUUAUCUCAAGGAUCUUGGAUCAAGAUAGGCUAGAGUUUCAUCAAUAGAAUAAAUUUGUGGCUUACAAGGGUGGUUUCCCUUAGUCAUCUUCGUAAUCUAAGGCAUAACCUCCUCCCUCAUUGCUAGUUCAACUAAAGGUAUGAUUUAAUGUAUGGUUUUCAUUGCAUACUUAUGGUAAGGUUUUGGGUUUUCAAAAAUAUAUUGGGGGUUUUGGUUAUAAGGGUUGGUUAUGGUUUCCCAUGUCUUUUAAUUAUAGUUUUCAUGAUUAUAAUGGUGGUUUGAACAUUUGGUUGCAUGGGAAUGGUUAAAUGGUACUUUUUUUUUUUGGAAACUAUAUGCCCUCAACAUAUUUGAUAAAAUGCCUAUGAGAAUGCUUUGACUAUAUUGUUGGACUUUCAAUGGAACUAUUGUAUUGUAUAACUUGGUAAAGGAACCCUAAGUGGAUUAGACGGUUUUAAAUGGUUAAAUGGUAAGGUCUUGGUGGUCGUGGUUAUGGUUUAAUUGAAAGCCUUGCAGGUACAUAGGAAUCCUCCAAGGAAAUAUAAUAAUGAACCACUUAUGGGGUACACGAGAAUCCCCCCAAGUUAACUUAAUAAUGGAAUAGAUGGGUACAUAGGAAUUCCUUAUUCUUUAAAAUAGUUGGCUAAGGACAUUUCUUGCAAGAUAUGGUUGGUAUUACGAUACCACUACUUAUAGCCUUGGUUAAUAAUAAAUGAAAUAAUUAUUUGGUUACAUGUUAAUGGAUAUAAUUAGGCAAUAAUGGCGGAUUAUGAUAGCUUACCGUGAAGGUGUGAGUCCAAUUGACGAACACUGGAAACUCAUGUUUAAUGACAUGAGGAUUGGUUAUGGCGACUAUAUAGUUAUUAGGUAUAUGGGUAUCUCUUAAGUUACAUUGUAUAUAUGUAUCAUAGAGAGUAAAAGGUACAGAGGAAUCCCCAACUCCUAUGGUAUCUUUGUUUCAUACGGCUACACGCAUCAUGGCCCAUUAAGGGGGUAACACUGUAUCCAUAUAACCUGUGGGUGGUUCUAGGAUGGUUAAGCUACACAUACCCUGGUUAAUGGUUUUGAAAGCAUGCUAAACCUAGUUCCUUUUCUCGGCUUGAAUUAUAUAUAUAUAUAUAUAUAUGGAUGUGCAUGCAUAUAAUUGUUUACAUGGUUUUAAAGGCUGGUGUUAUCCUAUACUUAUAUUGAGUGCAAGCUAGUGUUUACCCACUAACCCAUCUUCAGGUGCUAUAUCCUAAUGCAAUGUAGCAAUCAACAAUACUCCUCCUGCUCAGUGAUCAAAUUCAGAAUCUGCUUGUGCUAGAUUGAAGUGGUGAACUUCCAUAUUUUGGAAGGCUCCAUUUUAUGUUAUGAUUUUCUUUACACAUGUUAGUUAUUUCAUACACUUUGGAUUUGGGUAUGGUUGGGGGCAUGUCUCAACCGAAUAUUAUUUUACUUCUGAAAAAGGCUUUAUAGGACUACUAUAGGUUGGUAUGGGCGGUGUCAGUAUUGAUCUCAGCCUUGGCAUUGGUAUUAGUAAUAUGGCUGAUACCGGUUGACUGUAUUUGUUUAUUAUUAUUCCAUCUAACAAUUUUAUUGAAUAGUUAUAGAUUGGUUUAUGUUAUGGUUGAGAGUUCGGUAUUGGAUGGUUUGAUUUGUUUGGGUUGGUCAUGGUCAUGGACUUAUCCCAGAGUUUUGAGUGGUAAAUAACUCUAUCUUGUUAAAUAUUUGGAAUUCAUUUGACUCCGGGUAUGUGUUUGGAGGUUAGGUUCGUUAUCGGGGGUUGUCCCCGGUCCUUGUUGGACUUGGGUAGCCCAUUAUGACAAGUCCCUGGUUCGAGUCGUGUCAAGUUGGUAUCAAAGCCUUAGGCUCAUGGUCAAUUGGGAGUCCACAAAGCCAUGUCGAUUACAAUAUCUUAUAAUGGUGUGUAGCGCGCCACACUCAUAAGGGACAGGCGAAAAGACAUUUAGGAAUGUUUCUCUUUCUUGUGUUCUAAUUAUGUGUUAUAAAGUCUAAGGUCCUGAAAUCCUCACUAAUUCUCAUUUGUUUUCUUUUCAAAUCAUACCUCGAUGAUUUAAUAUUCUUGAAAAAUUCUCCAUCCCAACUGGGGACAAUGUUGAUGGGACACGCUCUACUCAUGGAAUCCACUCUUGGUCAAGGGGUCCCUUCCCUGGUAGUUCUAAAGUUCCACCAGUUCCCUUAACUCCUCCCCAAGCUCAUCAGGAAGAUAUAAUGAAUGCGGAGUUCUGUCAGUCUAUACAUAUGAUUGCUCAGUUGGUAGCUUAUCAGGCUGAGCAUGAUGGAGAAGGAUCUUCAGGGUUUUCUGGAUGAGAUGGAAAGAAUCUUCAGAGUGAUGCAUGCCACAAAUAUAAAAGGGGUGGAUUUUGCUUCCUACUAGCCAGAGGAUAUGGCAUUCUAGUGAUACGAGUAAUGAGAUGGGGCAAGGGAUGAUGUUGAGGAGUCAUCUUUGUAGGAGACUUUUUCUAAUGCAUUUCUGGACCGCUUCUCUCCUCAAGAGUUGAGGGAAGAAAAAAUAGAGGAAUUUGUUAAUCUGAAAUAGGUAAAGAUAUCGGUCAAGGAGUAUGCCUUAAAGUUUUACCAGUUGUCUCGAUAUGUUCUAGAGAUGGUGUCGGAUAUGAGGUCCAUGAUGAGAAAGUGUACCUCAGGAUAAUCUUAUGAGUUUGUCCUUGAAAGCAAGACUUCCUUACUAAUCUAGGACAUGGACAAGUCUAGGUUGGUUGUUUAUAUGCAACAGGCAAAGGAGGUAAAGAAAAAGCAGGCUUACAUAGGGGAAAAACAGGUUAAGAAGUUUAGGUUGUCUAAGCAGGAUAAUGGCCAACAACAAAGUGGUACGGAUGGUGGUAAGUUGCCAAAGAAGAAGUGGGGAGUUAUAGUUGUUUCUCUAAAGCUAGUACUCUUUACUCGAAAUAGUAAAGAGAUAGGUGUCAGCAGGUUGGUGAUAACUUCAAGGCAUAAGGUGCCUAAUCUCAGGCUGGUGGGGCUCAAUAGCCUUCAUUAUGUCCUCUUUAUAGGUUGUAACACCCCAAAUUUUUCCAGAGAUAAAUUUCUCCUUGAGAAGGUUAAGGAGUGACUUCCUAGGUGAGUAUCGUUUUAACCAUAUAAAAUUUCCUUAAUUUCAAUUUUUUAUCACAUGGGAAAUAUGAUAAGCUUUCCAUCAAUAUAAGAUUCGCCCAAAGCUGAUGCAUAGGUAAAAGUUAUGGCUAAUUUAAGUCCUAGUUGUAAAACAACGUCAUUUUAGUUCUUGGCGCAUUGCGGAGAGGGUCUAUUUAAAAAUUGUCAAAUUCCAGUGGAACACCGCGAUAGUGGCAUGUCGCGGAGGACCCCAAUUUCCUAAUAGUUAAUUUCCAGUGCCCUAGCGUGAUUAUGAUGCAUCGCACUGAAGUUCCAGGUCCCAACCAGUAGGACAACGCGAUGGCUCUGCAUCGCGGUGACUUCCAGAUUCCCAUUUGUCAAUUUCCAGCGAGCCACCGCGAUAGUGGUGCAUCGCGAUGGCCCAUAAAAUUGUGUUCCCAGUUUAAUUUUUCCAGCUUUGUAUAGAAGUUGAAAAGGGUACUUUGAACUUUUUCCAAGCCUCUUAAACCAUACAAACACCAAAUUAAAGUCAUUUACAAGCAUUCUAUGAAGUUUUUCUCAAAUUUUCUCUCAAAAAAACCCCUAAGUAUCAAAAAUUUCUUCCAAGAAUCUCAAGAAUUCACCUUAGAUUUUCUAAAUUGAGUCAAGAUUUAAGGUUCCCAAGUCAAGGGCUUCAAGAACCCUCAUUCAAGAGUAUGGAUAGAUUCCCAAAAGUGAGAGUUCAUACAAAGCUUCUAAUUCAAGGUAUAUGGGGCCUGAACAAGGACACUCCUUUCGUCCUUGUGCCCAGAAGUUGUUUUAAAUUACUAGAAUAUAUGAUUUCACAUGUUUUCUUUUGGAAAUUGAAGUAUGGGUUUGUACCAUUUGUUGUUGUUCUUGAGAUUAUGAUAAUUUCCAUAUUUUAGAAAUUGGGAUACAUGAGUAUGUUGAGAUUUUAAUGCAUAAUGCUGAAAUUUCAGAUUUCUAUAUGAUUUAUGAAUCCUUAUGAUGUCUAGUAUGCAUUUUGAUGAGUCUUAACUUGAGAUUGAACUAUGGGUCACUAAACCCAACUUGAGAAUUGUAAUUUUAUGAACUUUUAUGCUAUAAGAACCUAUGAUUUGAGUACUUUGAUAUUAUUGAGAAAUAUUUGACCUUUUUGGUCCUAAUAGAGUUUGAAUCCACAAUGAUGUUCUAUUAAAACAAAUAGUAUUACAUUUUGGUCUUCAGUAUAGACCCUUGAGUUAUUUGAGGUAGAUUUUCUAAGAGUUCUGCUCUGAGCAUGGGAGUGGUAUUUAGCACUAAUUGGGUAUAAUUCCGAGGUCUCAUGCCCGAGAACUAUAUGCCACCAUUGGACUGAGAUUUAUGGGCUUGAGGCCGAGAUAGUGAUCACUGAGUUGAGGUUAUACUCCCAGGUAAGAGCAUGACGCCUCUCCCCAAUGUGAGGUUUCUUCCUUAGGAGGACAAGACGUUGGAAUCCAUGUAUGUCACAUGGUUUGUGUCAGUUAUAAGAAACUCUCAAGUGUCUAAAGUUAUAUUAUCCUGAGUUCAAAGUGUCCCAAGUAUAAAAGAGUUCUAGACUUCCCAAGUGUUGAAAGUUCCUUAAAGUUCUGAAUCCUUGAGUUUUAAAGAAGUUUUACUCUCCAUGAGAUAAAAGUAGGAGUUUGAAAGUAUUGUUUAAAGUUUCUUUAGCUGUCAAGUAUUGAGAAUAAGAGAAGAGUAAAGAUUUUAAAGUUAAGUAAAAUGACUCACGUGAUUUGUAUUUCAUGUUUCACUAUUCACAAUUCAUGAGAAUUAUAUUUCAGAUUUAUUCAAUCUGUAUGAGUCAUUCAUAUAUGCAUGCGUGAUGUUAUAAAGAGUAAUGAUAACGUUUAUUUAAAUACAUACACCACCAUAUACUUAGUAAAUUCCCAAGUGCUGAUCCACAUAUACAUCUAUGUGUUACAUUGUCUUAUAAUGUAGGUUCAGGUGCUCAGUCCCAGCCUCAUUAGUGAUUUUCGAGUACCUUUUUGUACAUCUCCACAGUGGUGAGUCCUUAUGGUUCGAGGACCUAUCUUCAGACAUUUCAGUAUUUUAGUAGAUAUAUUAUUUCUUUCAGUUUAGUUUGAAUCAGUUGGGGGCCUAUCCCAAUGGCUCUCUAGUCAUGGAGUGGUAAAGGCUUUGUCAGACUAGUUAUUAGAUUGUUAGUAUGUUGAGAUUUCCAGUAUUGUGGUCAUUUAGACCGAGUAUUUUCUUUGUAUUUUCUAUUAUUUGAUAUGACAUUUCAAGUGUUUUGUUAUUUUAUCUUGAAAUAAGUUGUUAUAUGUAGUAAUAGGAUCAAAGGGUUAACUUGGGUCUACUUGUAGCCUUAAGCACUGUAUGACCCUUCGGGAUAAGAUUUUGGGGUGUUACAAACUUGCUAUCAGAGCCUAAGGUUUAAAGAGUCAUAAGUACUGUGUGACGCUUUGGGAUGAUAUUUUGGGGUGUUACAAACUUGGUACCAGAGCCUCAGGUUUAAGGAGUCCUAGGGAGUCUGAAAAGAAGCGUUAAGUAGAGUUUUGAUCAUCGGUUUGUAGCAUGCCACAUCUAUGAGCAAGAGGCUACAAGACGUUUUAGAAAAAAGUUAUUUUUUUCUUUCAGAUUCUAUUGUGCCUAUCUAAUAAUUCGUGCUCUUCUAUUUUAGAAAAUGCCUCCACGAAGAGCGAACGCCCGCAGAAAUGAUAUUCUGCAAACCCAUCCUGUCGAUUCCUUGAAUGAAACUGUGACUCAAGCUGAGUUUUAGGUGGUCUUUCAGGUGUUGGACCAAGCAAUCACCGCCAAUGGUAAGGCCAAUAACCAGUUUGCAGUUCUAAAUCAACAGGGAGGUGAUUUAGCUGCUGCUAGGAUUCAUAAUUUCAUGUGGAUGAAUCCGCUAGAGUUUUAUGGGUCUAAGGCAGGUGAUGACCCACAGUUAUACCUUGAGGAGGUGAGAAAGAUCACACAGGUGAUGCAUGUUUCGGAGGAAAAAAAUGUUGAGUUGGCGUCUUAUAGGCUGAAAGACAUAGCGUAUGACUGGUUGGUUACCUGGAAGAAGAGUAGAGGGGAAGGUGAUGCCCCCAUUACUUGGCAGGUGUUCUAAGAUACGUUCUUGGAUAAGUUCUUUUCUUUAGAUACGAAUGAGGCAAAAAUAUAGGAGUUUAUAAACUUAAGGCAAGGCUCCAGGACUGUUUUGGAGUACUGCUUGAAGUUCAACCAUUUAGCCAAGUACGCUCCUUAUUUGAUUUCUCACACCCGAGAUAGUAUGAGCAAGUUUGUGAUAGGUCUUUCUGGUUUAUACUAAAAGAGUGUAGGACUGCAAUGCUGAAUAGGGAUAUGGAUCUAUCUAGAUUGAUGAUAUAUGCACAGCAAAUAUAGGCAGACAAGAUAAGGGAGAGAGAUUGAGUGAGGGGUAACAAGAGGGCUAGAUCUGAGCAGCACGAGUUUAGUCAGGCUAGGUCCCAUGGAGGGAACCGCCCACAGUUCUAGGGCCAUUCGUCUAUGCCAGCGCCUUCAUCAGCUAGUGCUCCUGAUCCUAGAGACAGGCAGGAGUAAGGGAACAGGUCUUCUAUGUCCCGAUCCCAGAACUGUAAAAGUAACAGACCCCACUAUCCUCCAUGUGCUAAGUAUGGUAAAGAUCAUCCUGGUGAGUGUUUAGAAGACCAGAGGGGUUGUUUUAGUUCUGGUAAGCUGAGCCAUAGACUUAGAGAUUGUCCACAUGCUAGGUAGGGAAACAGAGAUGACCAAACCCAGACACAGACUACUAGUGCACCAACUCUUGUAGCUUAUUCCACCCCUGCUCAAGGAACUUCAUCUUCCACUGUUGGCGGUGAAUGCCUAAACAAAUUCUAUGCCUUAGCAUCUCAUCAGGAUUAGGAGGAUUCUCAAAAUAUUAUUAUUGGUAUUUUCUGUGUCUUUUUCUUUGAUGUUUCUGUGUUGUUGGACCCCGAUCAAGUUUUUCUUAUAUGACCCCAUUAGUCGCUGUAAAUUUCAAAAUGAGUCCCGAGAAGAUUCUUGAGCCUUUCCUAGUUUCCUCACCAGUAGAGAGACAUUUAUUACUAAAUAAGUGUAUAGAGAUUAUCCUAUUACUGUUCUUCAUAGAGUCAUAUUUGUUGAUUUGAUAGAGUUAGACAUGGUGGAUUUUGACAUUAUUCUGGGUAUGGAUUGGCUUCAUUCUUGUUAUGCAUCUAUAGAAUGUCAUACCUGCGUGGUUAAGUUUCAGUUCCCUGAUGAACCAGUUUUUGAGUGGUCCGAGAUUUUGAUAUCUCCCAAGAGUCAUUUUAUCUCUUAACUCAAGCUAGAAAGCUAAUAUCCAAAGGUUGCCUCUAUCACCUAGUUAGAGUUAAAGACACAAAGUUCAAGGCUCCAACUCUUCAGGCAGUCAAUAUUGUUAAUGAGUUUCCUGAUGUUUUUCUGGAAGAUCUCCCAAGGGUACCUCCCCAUAAAUAAAUAAAGUUCGGGAUUGAUAUUCUUCCUGAAACUUAGCCUAUUUCUAUUCCUCCAUACUAUAUGGCACCUGCAGAUCUUAAAGAGUUGAAAGAGAAACUCAAAGAUAUUUUACAUAAGGGAUUCAUAAGGCCCAGUGUCCCUCAUUGGGAGCACCUGUUCUUUUCAUACAAAAGAAAGAUGGUUCUUUGGUAUGUGCAUUGACUAUCGUCAGCUUAACAAGGUCACUAUUAAGAAUAAGUACCCCCUUUUGAGAAUUGAUGACCUGUUUGAUCAGUUGCAAGGUGCAAGUUAUUUCCCCAAGAUAGACCUUAGAUCCGGCUAUUAUCAGCUUAAAGUGAGGGAAUGUGAUAUUCCACAAACAGCCUUCCGAACCCAUUAUGGUCACUUUGAGUUUCUAGUCAUGUCUUUUGGGAUAACCAAUGCUCUAGCAGUCUUUAUGGACCUCAUAAAUCAAGUGUUAUCUUGAUAUGUUUGUCAUUGUUUUAAUAGAUGAUAUCCUUGUGCACUCCCGUACUGAGAACGACCAUGUAGAUCAUCUUAGAAUUGUCUUAUAAACUCUUAGAGAUCACUAGUUGUUAACCAAAUUCAACAAGUGUAAAUUUUGGCUAAGAUCAGUAGCCUUUCUAGGUCAUAUUAUUUCAGCCAAAGGCAUUAUAGUUGAUCCCCAAAAGAAAAAAGAUGUAAGAAAUUGGCCUAGACGUAUCUCUUCAUCUUAUAUUAAAAUUUUCUUGGGUCUAGCUAGCUACUACCACCAUUUUGUUGAAGGUUUUUCUUUUAUUGCAUCUCUCAUGAUCCGGUUGACCCAAAAGAAAGUUAAGUUCCAGUGGUCAGAUUCCCGUGAGAAAAGUUUUUAAGAGUUGAAGACUCAACUUACUUCAGCCCCUAUGUUGACUUUGCCUGAUGGUACAGAUGGUUUUAUGGUAUUUUGUAAUGCUUCUAGAGUUGGUUUGGGUUGUAUGUUGAUGCAAAGAGGUAAAUUUAUAGCCUAUGCCUCUAGACAGUUGAAGCCACAUGAAAAGAACUAACGAACCCAUGAUUUUGAGUUAGCUGAUAUGGUCUUUGCUUUGAAAAUAUGGAGACACUAUCUUUAUGGUGUUCAUGUUGACAUGUUUACUGAUCACAAAAGCCUGCAGUACAUGUUUACUUAGGGGGAGUUGAACCUUAGGCAGAGGAGGUGGUUAGAGUUGUUAAAGAAUUAUGAUAUGAGCGUGUUGUAUCACCCAGGCAAGGCCAAUAUAAUGGCAGAUGCCCUUAGUAGGUUGUCUAUGGGUAGUGUUACUCAUGUAAAGGAAGAUAAGAAAUCGUUAAAAGACAUAUUCCUAUUCUAUAUCCUUUAGAGAAUGACAUAGUGCGUGGAGUUAUUAGAGGAUUAGCAUUGCAACUCUUUUUAUCAUGGAGUAAUUGAUAGAAAUUGGUUUUCCUUCUCUCACAUUAUUAAUCAUACGAGGGCCAUAAAAAAAACAUAUAUUGAGACUUAUAGAGGUGGCGAUAAGAGGCUAUGUUAUUAGUACAAUGCUAUUGGUAUUUUAUUUGGGAGUGGGGAUCCCUAUGGUGGAGGUCAGCUUUACUUGCAGCCUAUUAGUUCUACAUAGGUAGCAUUUCAUACUCUAGGUGGCUCUUAGGCCAGUCAUGGUAGUCACAGCGAGCGUAGUUUUAGUCGAAACCUAUAGAGUCCAUGAUGACUAUUCUAGAUCAUGAGGGGCAAUAUCUCAGAGUAUUCCUAAAUCUUGUUUUGUUUAUAAUGAGAUGACAUAUUGUCUUUGAGACUGCCCCAUAUGUGAGUUGGUUGUUCAGAUAGAGUUAGUACAUAUUUCUUGCCAACCUAAAGUUCCUGAGGUGUGUUUUUGUUGCGAAAAAUAUGGUCAUUUUAGUAGGGAGUGCCAGGGUCAUUGGUUUGGUAGCCAAUUGGGGUUAACUCAUGUUUCUCAUUAAUUUAGUGCAUCAGGGGUUUACUACGACUAUAAAGAGAUUAGUCAUUGGUCUAGAGAGUGUCCAAACAUGGGAUUAUUAGUUAUUCAGCUUAUUUAGAAUAGUGUUAUAGCAUUGUGGCACCUUUAUUCAGAAGUAGUAUGCUUAGUGCCAUAGUCAGUGAUUCAGACGGUCAGUUUAAGUUUAUACCCACUCAGAGUUUUACUCCUACGAUCAUGUUAGACAUGUGACUUUGGGUUUCACCAUGAAAGGUUUGUCUUUUUAUUUCCUACCUUUAUAUUUUCAUUUGAGUGUAUGGGGGUUCUCAUACCCAUUGAUCAUUUUAUGCCUUGGUAGGUUUAUAUUGAUUAUUGUGAACCUUGGUAUAGAGUUCAUGAUUAUAAGACUACCCCUCUAGAUACUUUUUGUAGCAGUAUAUAGAGUGGAUCAGUGUGAUAUUUUCUUGGUGGUGUACUAUUUGGGUUCAAGUCCUAUUUACCUUGGCAUAUUGGCCUUCUUAUGGCUCUAUUAUGGUACUUGUAGUUGAUUUUAUUUUGGUACAACCUAUUCCUUUAUGCUAAUAAUUACAUUACUAUUGUUAUUAUUAUCAUUGUUUGAUAUUCACUAAUCCUCACUUGGUAGAUGGCUAGACUAUUAGUAUCUAAUUAAAAUUCCCUUCCUUAUAGUUUUUGUUUAUUAGCUUGGGCAGCUAGAUUGGUUGGAUGAUUUCUCUCUUAUAUCAAGGUAAGGUGAGCUGUUUUCCUCUUCUGUUAGAGUAUGAUGGAUCGGUUGUGGAGUGGAUUAUGAUAGUGAAGGUAAGUUUACCUUCUGUGGUUCUGUUAUGGUUCUAGAGAUGGCAAUUGUCUAUAUUGACUAUUUUUGGGUUUGAGAUUCUAUGACUUACCCAUUGGGUUAUAGAGGUUUUAUCUUUGGCUAACCCUACCUAUGUAAACCAUUUCUAAAGUUAACUAGUUUGGGGUAUGUUCUUCUACUAUGGCUAGUGCAUCGCUUGAUAGUGGUUUUUAUUUUUAUAUCAAGAUGUCUAGGAUUCGUCUUUCAAGUUUGAUGGGUUUGUUUCGCGUUGAUGGUUUGUUAUUGGUAUUGGUGUGUAGUUGGGUACUCUGUUUUUGCCAUGAUAUAACAUUAUUCUAAGUGGAUUUUGAGAGUUGGAGAUAGGUGAUCUUUUAUGUGAUCAUUUCCUAAGUUGAUAAAUUAGGUAUUCAUAGUUGAGAUGGAGUAUUGGAUUGAUUAGUUUCAAGAUAAAGUUGCUUACUCCAAGUUGCUAGAGUUUUGGUUAUCUCUAGUAUAAUUUAUAACUUGCUGAGUUCUUGAGUAUGCUUUGGUAGUUUGUUCCCUCUAUUGGAUAUGGAGUUGUUUUUUUGUGUUUUCAGUCGAUGAUUUAUCCUCUAUUUUGAUUUUGUUUUGCAUUUUUAUUUCAUACCCUUUAAUAGAUAUGGAGUUGGUUGUUUGUGUUUUCAGCUAGUGACUUAUCCUCUGUUAUAAUUUUGUUCUUCAACAAUGUUUUAAUUUUUUCUUGACAUAAUUUAGUAAGGAUAUGUCUGAUUUGGAUAGUAAGGUCUAUUUGUGUAUCUAGCCUAAGUUCAGGCUUGUUGGGUUAUUUCAAAUUUGAUGCCUUGGAAUGGUUAUUUGGAGGUUAUGAUCGAUCAGGAGUGCAGAUGCUUACCCAUUUUUAGGCUUGGUUUUUGUAGUUGAGAUCAAGUGGUUCAACCUUAAUGUAGAGAAUUUUAGGUUGGUUAAGUCUAAUCUUUACCUACAUAUUCGAUCUUUUUUAAUUAGAUGAAUUAUUGUUAAUAGGUGUUCAGAUGGUAGUCCAUUGGAACUGUGUUGGUUCCUUCCUCUUUGACCUUAGUUUUCAAUUUUUGUUAGGAUUUUUAGAUGAUCUACUCAGUAAGAGUAGUAUGACUGAGUUGGAUUCAACAUGGUUUAAUUUCGAUUAAUAAGACAUUUUUGAGCAGAUCAUUCAUGGGUGAGUAGUUGUGUUUUGGAAUCCUAGCUUCUAGUUUUAGUAGUCAUUAAGGCUAGUUAUAGCAUUGGCAUAGAUCUCAAACCUUAGUUCUCUAAUUGUUUGCCUAGGUAGCACUUUAUGUUCUUAUUCUCAUGCUUUCCAUUAUGGAAUUACAUGACAAGACUCAAGUGGACAUUCUUCUUAGUUUGGAGUAGAUAGCAGGUUCAAAAAGGCAAAUGGAAGUUAUAUUUGGAUUUUGGAGUUGGUUGAAUGAAUCAUGGCUUUGUUGAGGUUCAAAUUUACGUUCUUCAAACUUCCUUAGUUCGGUUAGUGGAAAGUUGGUGGUUGAGGUUUAGUUUUAGAUAUUUGAGAUAUGAUGAAAGGAAGUUGGUUGAAAAAAGGAUAUUAUAGACAAAUCCAUUGAAAGUAUUGUCUCUUUUUAGAGGUUAUUCGGGAAGUCGGGUUCAGAGCAUGUGGUCCUAGUACCUCGUCUCUUCGAGCUUGCAUAAUCUUUCUAUCCAUUGACUUUUGCAAAUGAAAGUCCUUUUAGUAGUGGAUAUUGUAAUAACCCUUUCGGUCUUUCCUCAAUUUGUAUGCAUUUCAAACAUUUCUAGCCUUUGCACAGAGGCUACAGGUCAUUUACAACUUUCCUAAACAAUUAGUUCGGUUACCAAAAAAUUUAUUUGAAUUUUAUGCUCAUUUCCCUAUUUUGUAUCUUUCAUUGUUUACAAUUUGGUCUCGAACCAAAACUCCUAGUAGAUGUCCUCAUAUGUGAUUUUGAUAGUGCCAUCAACUCCAAAACAUUGAUUUUAGGCUAAGGGAACCUUGGUAUAGGUCCUAUGGCUUUUAGACUCAUUUUGGACUAUUCGGCAGAUUAUGUGUAAAAGAGAACGAUGUAGGCCCCACACUUUGUCUAAACAAUCUUGGAUGAAAGUUUUGAUUUUUCCAUUGAUUCUGGAAUAUCAAAUUUGGUAAGGUAGCAUAUUUUCUUUGCAUGCAUGGGGUUUAGAGUGAACCCCUAGCACCCGAUCAGAGUCCGUUUUGGACAUGGCAAAUAUCUAGUGCAUGGCACCUGAUAAGAUCACUUAAGCACCUAUUAGGCCACUUAGUGGCCCUAACCCAUCGGCAAUAGUGCACUUUAGGUCCCAAGGACGCUAAAGUGGUGCAAGUUUUAUCUCUAUUGGGGUCGCUUUAGCGGUAUUCACGACUUUCUGAGAGAGUCCUAAAGAGGUCGUGAUGUUGUAUUAGUUGUAGGCGCUUUAGCGUACAGGUGUCUGCUUUAGUGGCACCUAUAGCCCCUUUAAUCCCAUUUUCCCCACCGUAUUUUCCACUAUUUCUUCCAAUCUCAAAGAGAGGAAAAGUGGGAAAUCAUCCAUAAAAGCUAAAGUAAGCUUGCCUAACUCUUAUUGGUCAUUUCACAUUAAUUUUUCCUUUAAUUACUGUCAUAAUUCACGGUAUGAUUCUUAGAAAUUAGCUCUUGACUUCCUAUUCUUUAAAGGUUAAUUUAAACCCAAUUUAAGCUCUAUUUGUGCUCAACUUUUGAGCACACAUCCCUUGUUCUUUGAGGAAUUCGUGAUAGAUUACAUUUUGGAUUUCAUUUAGGGCCUUGCAGGCCCAUUUUUAACCAAAAACUUGACCCAACCCUUAAUAUAGAAAUAUGGGUAUCAUUUUUACUCUAUAUGAUAUAUAGAUUAUUAUUUUUGUAGUGUGGCAGUAUUUUGGGAUUAUGGAGCAAAGGAGAACUAAUUUUGGGCGAUUUAAGGACUAGCGGUUCGACAUCGAGGUUACCUUCUGCCUAGUUUUCUUCAUGAGUUAGUGUAUUACAUAUGUUUCAUGCUAGAUAGAGAUGUUAGGAUUAGAUUAUGAGUGGAGCACUGUGACCUUGCCUAAAUUAUGAGUUCGGAUAUACAAAGGGCCAAUUGACCCUUAAGAUGAAGUACUUAUUAUGUUUUAGAAUCCUGUUACCCUAGGUUGAUAAGAUGUUAGACAUAGUUGAGUUUAAUAACACUUUAGUAUAAGAUUUACUACUUGACUCAGUGGAUUAUGAUGGUUAUCUCGAAUUAUUAUAUGGUAUGCCAGUUUUAUAUUAUUGGGUCCAAGGCGUGAUUAUGAUGUUAGUUGGAUUCCAGGAGAGUAAUUUAUCCUUAUACAGGACGUGGCUUAUUUAUUCUCAUUUAGAUGCAUAUAAUUGUAUUAUUUGGAUACUGGUGUUGGCAUUGCAUAUAUUUGGUACUUUCAUGAUCACUAAAUGGUACGACUCUAACUAAAAUAUGGUUUUACUACCAUUUUCCUAAAAUGGGAUUUAUUUCCACUUUUUUCAUCAAGACAAGUUCUUUCGUAAUAGGAAUCGUACCAUCUUAAUGUGUAACUUAUGUAACUUUGAGACUAAAAAUGAUGUUUUAGAGAUUUGACUGAGAAAGCUUUUGGUUCACAAUUUUGCUACUACUAUUUAUCUCGGUCAAGAGAGAUUCUGACUCUCUCUAAACUUUUAUGAUGAAUUAGUUAUGGAGUUCACCUCGAGAAGUGGAUUUGUAGAUUUAUUGCCUUUUAGCCAUGAUUUUGCCUCCUUCAUUUUCUAUAUUUAUAAAUAUAUAUAAUAUAUAUGGUACUUUAUAAAGUGGAUUGAUGAUGAUGAUGGGUAUUGGAAAUCCUGGAUCGAAAUUAGAUUGAUGUAUAUGGGUACUCCUAAACCCCCUAGGGGCCCCUUCAUUCAUAAGCCAUCGUACAAGAGAAGAGAGGUCGCCAUAGGUCCUACUUUUGCAAGUUGUUGAGCUGAAGGAGGUGUAUAAGUUGGUUAUAUUAUGGUAUGUGGAUCGAUUGUGGUAUUAUAAAUUCUAUUCACAUUCAUCCUUAGAUGCUUAUUACCUAUUACGAGUAUGCUCCUACAUUUAUCAGCCUUAUGGGGGGUUGCCUAGGUAUUGAUGAUGAUUAAUGGUUGCGGUAUGUUAUGUGUGCUGAGACGACCUACAAUUUUAUGGGGAUUGUUUUAGGUAUUAUUUUUUUAGGUUAAGCAAUUACUUUAUAUUAUUGUUGUUGUUAUUAUUAGCCCAUGACAGGUUGAUUAUUGGAGUGGUAUUGAUAUUCGAAGCAUGAUAAUGAUUCCUUAUUCUUAUAGUUAUAAUAUUGCAUGAUUAUUUAAUGGUUAGGCAUUAUAGUUUUAGAUCCGGAUUAUAUUAGUAAUAGUUCUUACUAUUAUUAGGAGGCCUCAUGAUUCUAGUGUGAUUACUUAGGUUGUACCUUUCAGUUAGCCCUAUUUAUAUAUAUAUAUAUAUAUAAAUGUAAAUAUUUAUGUGUGUGUUGUAUAUACAUAUGUAGUUUUGGUAUUACCAUAUAGCCCAUCCUUUAUAUAUUUAUAUUUUAUAUCUUUCCUUGGUCUUGUAUACUAAUACAUAUCCUUCCUCCACUCUUUAUUUGUAUAUUAUACAGUGAUAGACGGUAUGGUACUUAAACACCGGAGUAUUGCUAGAAUAGGAUAGUUUAUCUUUAUAGUUUCCUUAUCUUUACUAUUUUAGUUUCCUGGAUAUUUGUGUGUAGUUUACAUUCUUGCUUGCAUGUUAUGUAUAGUUGCCUUAUAUUUGGAGCUUAGUCUGUAGUUUCCUACUAAGUACCAUGUGUUUAGUACUUAUCCUACACUUCUGUAGCUUGCAGAUUAUAGUACGGGUUCUUGCCAUUGUUGUGUGCAUUAUGUGG